CCGACUUUGUUGGUUCGAACCUAAAUGGAGUCAGAAUUCUAAUCCCGUCCGAUGAAUUGAUCGCCUUUUGUGGCACCAAUCUCGAUGUGUCUUUCCCAAAUUAAAAGGUUAUCUCUUGAUCUCAAGUCAACCUUUCAAAAACAAGAGUUUGACCUCAUUAAUCAUGCUCUGUUCACCUUUUAUAGUCGAUCCUCUCAUCGUUAGAUUCAUCAAGCUGUAUGUGUUUUGCUCUAAUGUUCUUCAAACUGUUGCAAAUAAUUCUACCAUCAGCUGUCAAACACAUACAUAGAAAAAUAAAUCUACUAGUGCUUCUUGUUAUUGUUCUCUGCGAAGCUCAUAUACCUUUCGGAUAAGCUUAUACUCUUUCCAAAUAGUGAUGCAUAUCUAUGAUCUUGGCUUGCUGUCUCACAAGUUCUUUGACUUGGUAGUCUCUCGAUACAAAGAUUUUCUUGAAUUGCUCAAAUGUUGAUCUUAAUAUCAACAACUAGAAAUCAACUCAGCAUAUGAUAGAAAACUGCUAAAACUAUGAGAAUUCAAUCAUAUCUUUAAUAAUAACGCGAUUGUGUGAGCAUUUCUCCCUUUUACAAGCAAGAUAUAUGUUCAAAGUCUGCAAAUUUUGCAGCUAAUUUCUCGAGAGAGACAACAGGACAUGAUUCAUAUCAGAGUAGGUAGAAGAAGGCUUUCUUCUUCUUCUUCUUAUUCUCUUGUUAUUUUCCUUCACGUUUGAUCAGGAAAACACAGCCUCUCUGAUUUGUUCACCUUCCUUAAAAGACUAUAAUGACAUGAUCUAAUCCUCAUAUCACUACAUAAAUUACUUGCAUCCGUCGAUCCUAAUUCGCACCAGUAAUGCAUGCGAGGAAGCGGCUGCUCCCAAACCUGGUCUCCUUCACCAAACGGCCAUGACUGCCAGCCUUGUCCGGCGAGAAAGGCGGCUCCGAGAAAUCCUCCGAUGAGUACUGCCUCCUGUGGCCAUUCUGGUCUUCAUGGAAGCUGCCAAGCUUGAUCGGUGUUGGCCGCAGGAACUUGUUGGUGUUGGGGAUGCCAAACCACUGCGAAGCACCAGUCGACAUCGAGCGGUAGUAUCUGGGAGCCUUUCUUCUCUUUAUUGCUCUGUAGAUGUAUGGGAUCAAUCCUUCCAUUCUUUCUUGUGUUUGAAGCUCUUUGGUCUGUGGAAAUGGAAGCUUUACUAAACCUCUCUUAUAAGAAAGAUGAGCAACGUUGUGGAGUUCCAUCUCUACGAAGGUUCUUGUGACUUUGGUUCGUGGAUGACUCGUGGAUCAUCAUGGAAGGAGAAUCUUAUCUUGGCUGGCAAUACAUUCAUGUGGACAAGAACAAAAAGUUCGAAUAAGAUAAAGAUCUUCCUGUCACCCACUGUUAGUAGAUAUUAAGAAUAAAGAUGACAGAAUGCGCCAGUCAACCACUUGUCAUAUAUAAUCAUACUUAUCAAAACUGGAUUAGGCUUGCGUAUUUGGUAGAAAAAAUAUUUAAAAUAUUAUCAGAAGAAACAGAAAUUUUAAGGAUUGAGUUGCAGUUUUGAUCUUUCUUUUUUCUUUAUACUCUAAAAUAAAAAUAUACAAUCAUACAAAGAGAUGUUUUUGGACACUAUCUACACUGCAUGACCUGUUGUAUUCAUGUUAUAGCUUUUAAUCUUGUCAUGUUUGAAGUUGACUUGUCACUUUCAAGACAGUUCUCUUCAGCAUCAUUGCUUUGUAGAAAUAAGUGUCUCCAUGGGUUGGUGGGUCAAGAAAUGGAGCCUUCAGAGGAUGGCAGUCUAAGUUGGCUCCUUUGUGGAGCAAAGCUGUUUGCUUCUGCAACACUUGUGGAUGAACAGUUCUUGGUCAACUAAUCUUACCUUCCAGGAAGGUGCAUAUGGGGGCACUUUUAACUGACCUUCAUUGAUCACAAUCUCUGUUUCUUCAUAUUCAAUCAUCUAAAGUAUUGCCAUGCCUCACAUUUUGAACACUUCCACUUGCCACUACUUUAUCUUAUCUUUUUCUACAUGAAUGUGCCACCCAACAAUUUAUGAAAUAGUGUGGUGCAAAAAGUUCUAAACCUUUCUGAUGAUUUUCCUACAUUCAGAGCUGAAAGUGAACAUAGCAGACAAAAAGAUUAAUCUUUCGAGGAGAUUUGAGGGUCAUUAAAAAUGGCCAAAACAGAAGCCAAGAGGGCCACAUCCAUCUUCAUUUGAUCAAGGAAUAAAAAACCAUCACUGUGUUUUUGCUUAGCCUACUUGCAUCUUCAUCUCCAGGUUCAAUAGAGAGACAAACAAAUGCUCUUUCUUGGUCCCAAGCAAGUUCUACCUGAAGAAACACCUUGAAAUAAUGUCCAAAUCUCUUGACUAAAUCGAAUUCUCUGCCUUCAUGAUCCCAUGUAACAAGCCUCUGAGGAAACCUGUGAUCCUUGCAGCUUAGAUUGCCUUGUUGCUUUUGGUUGGAGACAUUAGUAAAGCCAGUUUGCAGUAUGAAUUCAACAAACAUGACUUCCUUUUCAUGAUUUAUAUGAUUUACGAUUGCCUCGUUUUGACAUCAACACUCUAUGCAUUGGAUUCUUUUUCCUUCCUUUUUCUGUAGGCUUUGGUUGGAAAUUUCAAACUGGAAGUAGCAGUUUCGAAGGCCCUAUCAUGCUGAAGUCAUCUGUUGGACUCAGAGUUGCUCCAAAUCCUGUUUGUUGAAACGACGAGGUAACCUAAGAGAUGCCUAAUGUUGAUGCAUUAGCAAAUACACAGAAUAAACACCAUUAAGCUCAAUAAUCUAAUGAAGAAGACUGCCAACAUGGAACUCUGGAAGGAUCAAAUAAACAUGUAUGUUCUUAGUUUCAUGGGCAAAUUUAAACUUCCCGCAGGAAUGGCUGAUGGUUUUGCCAUUUCCUGUGGAUGUUGCUGGUUUUUCUCCCAAGGGAGAUGUAUGUAUGUUCAUUUCCUGUCUUCACUACAGUGGGGUGCAAAUUAUGGGCAGAGACUUACUGACCAACUUCCUAUGGAUUUCAAUUCUUUGGUCUUUGCCCCUGUAGAACUUGGGAUGCAUUGUUACCAUGAUCUGGUGGUAUUGAUAUAUAUUCUUUGUGAAUGUUAUGCAUGUUUCAGAAGAAACAGGACACUGCACACUGACAUAAGAGGUUGAGAUCUUUCAGAGCUCACACUGCACAUUGGCAUGUGAAGGUGGAAGAAAGAGGACUUUGCUGGAUCAGACAAAGUGUAUCCAAAAAUCUGUAUUAAUUCAGAAAAAAAGGUGAGGAAUGAUGCCACAAUCAAUCCACAAAACAAUGACUCUUUUUAAUUAUGUUCUUUUUAUGAUUUCAGAUUGCAAACCAUUUUUUAUAGUUUCAGGCAACUCCAUCCACUUCCUGCUCUCAGAGUAUUUCAAAUGAAAAAUCAACAAGCAGUGGCAAGAAGGAGAUCAUAUUUCAAGUGAAAAUAUGUGCUAAAAUCAGUUAAAAUAAAAAAUACAACGUAAAGUCAUAAAUGAUAUAGUUUGAAAUUAUGGGAGUUUAUCAUUUAUAUUUUUUAACACAUAUUUUCAUCAUAUUUUAUACCAAAAAAGAUGUUGACAGAAAUUAAAAUUUUUCAUAAAAACCUCAAUAUGUUUAAAUUAAUAAAAGUACAUUGUUUAAAAAAAUAAUUUAACUUUAUUUAUCAUUCAAUUGGUAUCUUUAUAUAAAAUUAUCAUAAAAAUAUAAAAUUAAAUUUUAUAAUAUUUUUUAUUUUCUCUACAUGAGUGCCAUAUGUUCACCAGAUUUUAUAUAUUUUUUAAAGUAUAUUUCUUUUAUUUUUCAACUAUUACAUGAUUUUCAUUUGACUCAUUUACGUGUUUUUCGAUAGCGUUUAUAAUAUUUUUAUUAAUAUAGUAAACAAUUAUAAAUAUUAUUAAAAAAUAUUAUAAGUAAUAUUUUUAUACUUGUAAUUGGUCUGAUUGAGGUUAGAAGUUGAUUUAGAUCGCUUACAAUGUUUUCGAACAUAUGUUUCUAUUAUGGUAGCAAAAAUAUUAUAAUAAAUUAAUUUUUUUAUUUUUAUUUAGGUGAUAUUCUUAAAUUAUUAUAAAUAUAUAUUUGAACAAUGAUAUAUCAAAUGAUUUAUAAUGUGUUUUGAUUUUAUUUAACUUAUUUAUAGUAUUUUCAAGUAGGCUUUAUAUUGUUUUUAUUAUGGUGACCAAAACAUUAUAACAUUAUAGUGAUCCAAACAUUAUAAAUAAUAAAAGAUGAACAUGUUUUUAAGAGAGAGUUUGGACAUUUUUAAAUUAGAGAUAUUAUUUGAAACAAAUAAAAUGAAGAUGCUGAUUGAGAAAUCUUUCUAUAAAUAAAUAAAUAAAUAAAUAUAUAUAUAUAUAUAUAUAUAUAUAUAUAUAUAUAUAUAUAUAUAUAUAUAUAUAUAUAUAUAUAUAUAUAUAUAUAUAUAUAUAUCGAUCAUAUUUUAUUAAUUUAAAAUAUUUUAUUUGAAUUCUCUUGUUCUUGGUCGGCUUUUAACCAGUGUGACCUCUUUCGAGGAAAAGGAGUCCACCGAGUCUGCUUCCAUUCACCGGUUCUUCCGCAAAGCAUCUCCUUUCCCUCGAUUCCUUCCUGUUCUCCCGCAGAAAGAUUUCCGACCCCCUCCUAGGUCUCUCGUUCUCGUUAUGGAUAAGGAGUACGACGUCAUCGUCCUAGGGACUGGGCUCAAGGAAUGCAUCCUCAGCGGCCUGCCGUCCGUCGAUGGCCUCAAGGUUUUCUCUUGCCACGCCCUUCUGUUGGCCUCUUUUUGUUAUAGUCCUUCCCGUUUUGCGCUUGGCGCGAUUUGCUGCUUUUGAUUUGAAGUUCGCUCAUCGACUUGCUUAGAGGCUGUUUUGCGACAACAUUUCGUUUUCGACCUGCGUGCCGAGUUUUUGAAGUCUUAUUCUUUGUACUUGUUUCGAUUUUAAUAUGGCAUAUAUCACGAUUGUUCAUGAAAGGCCGCAUUUUGGUCUGUCGUACCGAUUGGUUGUCCUUGUUACGAUCGUGAUUCACAUGAUUUUAAUUCAAGAUCUAGAAAUGGAUGAAAGCUUGUUGAGUUUUUGACGUGUUUCCUCUUUGAGUAGGAAUGUGAUUUCAAUUAGUCGUUGGUUUAGUAGAGUUUAUGCCUUUAUGAAUUAGAACUAGUUUUAGGACCUGUCUAGAUACUUAUGUGAUGAUCACUGGAGAUGUUAUUAUGAGUAUUAGUGGAAAUAUUUUUAAAUUUGCACAUGCAAUAUGCUGUAAAUCUGCAUUUCAGUUGUUCUCUAAUGAGUUUCUUUUGCUUGCCAAAAUGUUUCGGGUCCUACACAUGGACAGGAAUGAUUACUAUAGAGGAGAGUCAACCUCACUCAAUCUCAUCCAGGCAAGAAACAUAAACAGAGAACAAUCCAUUGUGCAUGUGUGUUUUGCUUGCUUGUGAGUGGACAUGCUAUUUGUUCUAUGGGUUCCCACUACACUUCCUCAUGACAAAUAUAUUAGCAUAACAACACUGUAUUAGGCCUUAGUAUUGUCAUGUCAAUCAACAUGUGUUUGCAUGGGUUGAAAUGUGUCAUAGCAUUUAGUGAUCAUGCCAUGCCAAGCCAAGUUGGAGUGCCAUUUUAUGGCUAGAUGAAAAUUUAUCCUAUGCUGACCAGCACAUGGUGGUGCUGAUUGGCAUGGUAUAAAAAUGUGCCAUGGCAGAAAUGUAUUGGCAUGUCCCAUGCCACAUGGCAAUCCUUGGUUAUUCCAACCAUUAUAAGUCAAGUGUUAGGAAAACCAUAAAACUGUCAUUACUUUUGCCUCAUUACUUUUGCCCUUGAGAGAUGAAGGGAAAAGAGAUCAGAUUAGCUUUUGACAGUGUACUUCUACAGUCUUUGAUUUCUUGGUCUUUUUUAUUUUGUAGGAGCAAUACAGUGUGAAUAAACUAAAGAAUUUUUGUGGCUCUUCAUUACAGUUCCACUUAACAAAACUUGUUUACAACUGCUCUAAUAUUUAUGCUCAUCCGUCAAUUCAUUAUUUUUUUCCUUGAGAAAUGAAUGGAAAUUUGACUAGAUCAAAAUAUUAUUUUUCAUCUUUGUUCUGAAACAUGUUACAUUUUUUUUCAAGUUCAAGUGAGCAAUAUUGUCAUACUGAACUUCCUUUAUCAUCCUAUUCAAGCUUACACAUAAUCUUUUGCACAGCUCUGGAAAAGGUUUAGGGGCAGUGAUAAGCCCCCCAGCACUUUUGGGUUCCAGCAGAGAGUACAAUGUUGACAUGAUUCCAAAGGUUUGUUCAUCUUCUUCUCAUUCAACUCUCGAUAUGUAAAAUCACUGUAGUAUGUUUACUCUGUAUGAGUGAAUACUAUUUUCUUAAAUUAUUUGACUCAAUAGAACUAGUCAUAACAUUCACAAAGUGAUUGAUCAUCAUCAAAAAGAGAUGAGCAGUUUGUGCUAUUUGUAGAGCAUUUGAUUUUGUUAGUUGAUGUUAUUGCUAUGUUUUUUUCUUUUUUGGUGGAAUUAUCCAAAACUAGAUCAAAAUAUCAUAAGCAGGUAUUUCAUGAGAUUUACAUCAAGGUUUGAUGUUCAAACUUGUCACCUUGACAAGCUAUUUUAUUAAAUUAAAUAGAAGGGUGCUGAGGAUACUAGACUGAACAUAUUACAUACUUUAAUUUCUAACUAAUGAUAUUGUUAUAAGGAGAUGAAUUAAAGCUUAUCAUUUCUCAUAAAGAAAAGCUGGCACACUAUAUUUUACUAUAAACAAAAGUAAAAAUACACUGAAAUAUAGCUUUCAUGUCUGACACUGUUGAAUCAGAGAUAUGAUCCCGAUUGGCUAAAUCUCAGUACAAAUGCUAUGUGAUAUUAACUUGAUAUAAAAAUACUCUUGCAGGUCAGUGUAAAAAGAAUGUUGUUUUUUUAAAAUAUUAAACAGAAUAAUGUUGAUUUUAUUAGUAACAAUCCAUGAAGUGAAUUCAGGAUUGAAGAGUUUGCAUUUAGUUCAUUGUGAAAAUUUUGCAUUUUGAAGUUUGACCUACUUAUAUAAGUACCAAAGUUUUUUGGAUAGAUUAUAAAUCAAUUAAAAAUAAAUUAUUCAGUGCUUUCUAUUUAAUGAAUACACUAAUGGCCUUUACUCAUUUGUGUCUGGUUUUUAAGUUAGUUAAAAAAACAAAAUCUGGAAAAGAUAAAGUUCUGAAUUGUUAGAAACCUGUGCUUAACAGAACAUUUCAAUUUAGUUUGAAAACAAUGGGGACUGAUUCGCGUCAAAGUGAUGAAUUGUUAACUGGUCACUAUUUCUGAUUCUCUGAAGGAAAUUGAUUUGCAGUUCUAGCUUGUAAUUCUUUCAGCUAUGAGGCAAAUAAUAAAUGAAAGGAUUCUUUGGUUCCUGAUCCUGAUAGUUUUUGCAAUUAAAUUUUUGCCACUGCCUUUCCCUUUUAUCUUAUCUGGUCAAACCUUCAUCUGCAGAGCUGGCCUUCUCUGCCAACGAAACAGGAUCUGUAAUCAUCCUUGUAACUGAAAGAUUGAUGAUAUGGUUAUAUAUUUUCUUCAGCUUUUUAUCAAUUUUUUUAUAAAUGAAAAACUGUAUUUGAGCAGGAAAUAGUUUUUAGGCAAUUUAAGGGGAACAUCAUUCUUUUUAUUUCUGUUGAUGCUCAAAACAUUUUUGUUGAGUUCUGAGAUAGAAUAACUGCUUAUGCAUUAAGUUGUUACAAAAAGGAAAAUUUGUCUAUUUUUUGCAAAACCUAACAUUGUCACAAUGUCCUUGUGUUUUAACAGGUAUCUUUUCUGCUGUUCUUAUUCCCACAAUGUUGUCCCAAAAUGGAAGUUCAUUGCUUUUGUCUCAACUGAAGCUGAGACUGACCAUCCAGAUAUAGAACUAAAGGCAGGAAUUGAUCUUCUGGGACGAGUAGAUGAAUUAUUUUUUGAUACUUAUGACGGAUAUGAACCAGUCAACGACCCUUCACUUGAUAAUUGCUUCAUUUCAACUGUAAGUCUCACUGAUAUUAUAUGUAGUUACAAUUACCAAAAAAAUAAUAUAUUUUAUGCUCAUUUUUCUAGAAGAACAUUGACAAUUCUACUAUCUGGCAGAGCUAUGAUGCUACAACUCAUUUUGAAUCAACUGUUGUGGAUGUUCUUUCUAUGUAUACCAAGAUCACUGGAAGGGUAACAUCUUUUUUGUGCUUUUCAAUCCGACUUCCCUUGACAUUCUCCUUUUUUCAUCCAUUGUAAAAAUAUCCAUGUAUCAAGUUAGGCAGUCACUAUUUAUAUUUUUAGUGUACUACCUCUGUGUAUGGCACUUUCCAACUCUCGGCAAUCUAAAAUAUAUUUACAACUUGCAUACUUGAUCAUUUUGACUUUUUCAUUCUGAGGUGAACUUCUAGGACCAAGUAGUCAAUCUAGAAUCUGGUUCCCACAUUACCAUACUUAAUGAUACCUUCUCGGGUUAUUUUGGGAUUCGACACUUAGGAGGUAUAUGGCUACUGCCUGGUUCAAGUUUUGAUUUUAUGCUGGUUAGCUCUUGUUGUUUGUGGCAUUUUACAUCUGUUUGUCCAUGUUAUAUAAGACUAUAAGUUAUGGCAAUAAUGUAUCUAGCAGACAGUAUUAUUGCCAUUUUGUAUUCAACCUCCUUUAUUAUGGCCUUAUUCCUUAUAUUCUCCUGUUAAGUAUUACAUUUUUCACCAAAUUUAUUUUUCGUGAGCAAUGAUUCUUUUUUUCCCUAACAUGAUAAAUUGCUGGUAGGAUGUUUGUGGCUCGAUCCUUUUCCUUAUUAUCUGCUUCUUGUUAACUAAAAUUCUGUCACUAGAGUUUUUAUGGACUAGGCCGACAAGAACAACUUGAGCAACCCAAGCCAUUAGUAUUGGAGAGGGAGAGAGAUCAAAUAUUUACCAAUCCGAUCGUGAAUCAUAGCCUCCAUCAGUAGGGAUUACUAUGGGCUUAAACCUGCUGCUUAACAUCAUUCCAUUGUUUUAAAAGGUCUCUUUGCUGACAUUUUCAGCCAAGGGAGUCUCAUUUUAAGCCUCUAUAGCCUUAUUUCAAGCUUUUAUGCUAUCUCCUGCACUCUUCAUUUCAUUACAAGAUCAAAGCUUGAGAAACCCUAUAAGUUUUAGUUCAAAUUGAUAAUAUCAUUUCAUUUUUGUUAGUUUGCAAUGCUACACGAUUUGCUACCAGGAUGAUCCACUGCUCGAUGAGGUAAGAGGUUCACUGUAUCCAUCAAAUUUCAUUUUAUAAUGCAUUGCAAAAGUGGAUCAGAAUGUGGAAUUUUGGAUUAUCAGCAUCAUAGCUCCCUUUCCCGCCUCUACUAGGUGUAGCAACAUAUUAUGUUGCAAUAUGUAGUUUACCUAUUGAUUAGCUUCUAUCAUGUAUUGACAAUGUUGACUAAUAUCAUAUAUUGAGAGCAAUACUAUUCCUGGGUUCCAUAAAUUGAUGCUAUUGAUCUCUAGACACUGGCACUUCCUGAGGCAUCACAUAUCAUGCAUUGUAAUAUCUACCAAUAUUAUAUGCUGAAGGAGCAAUAUUCACCAUAACCGCCUCCUAAGGCACCGCAAAUUAGGUUUUGGUAUCAGUAGGGGGAGGAUGAUGCAUCUUCUACUCAACUUGUGAAUAUCAAAGUUUUUAUUCUCGGUCUCAAACUCUCAUGUAUGAUUGAACUUGUAUGCUAACUUUAGAAUUUUUAUGUUUUACAUAUGUUCUUUUCCUGGUAUGUUUAUUAAUAGGUCAUGGGUAAAUGUAAAAGGUCACAUACUUAUACUCACCAAAACACGGUCCAAUCGUCCAACCACCAACUGGUUAAUAUCAGACGGUUGUCCGAAUCAUAGAAUGUGGGUGAUGUCAGAGUUGAUUCCAAAAACUUCAUCCAAGGUUGAAUCCAUGAGUAUUUGUUGCAAGGAUUGGUCAGAGGUCAGGCCACACUGUAGCAAUUCCUCAUAUUUACAAAUUUUUUGAUGUUGUAUACUUUUUUCUUAUAUCGAGAUUUCCUUGUAGAGCUCAAUUGUAUGGUUUUUUUGGUGCAACAUCAAUUCCUGAAGUGAUAAGUGCAGGGUUUUGUAUUAUGGAAAAUUAUAGAAACAUUGUACAAUGUCCUAAAUGUUCUUUUCUUUUUACAGACUUUUGAUCUCAGCAUAGAUCUAAGUGCUGCUGAAGAAUGAUGACUGCAUCCAGGGUAUAUGACAGGAAAGUUCUCAUCUCAGUAUUUUUCAUCAUAUGAUCAUAUCAAUAUAGCAUUCUAUUUGAAGCUGAAUGGAUCUGCAAUGAUGAUAUGUGCUUCUUGAAUAUAUUCUCCCUGAACAUAGCAUAGCUAUUAAGUUAACAUUGUACAUUAAGAUUCAUUGUUUUUGAUGGGUUUCACUGUUGUCAAGGUUGUAUCAGAGAUGGAUUAUGCUAUAGAAGAAUGAUGUUUCUCUCCUGUGUUCGUUGCAUUCUUUGUCCACUCUUUUGUUUCAUUGGUCAAAACAAACCUGUUGCUUAAAGAGAAUCAUGCUUCAGAGUUGUGUUGGAUGCUGUGGAUAUCAUGCUUUUUUUUUUGUCUCAUGCAUAGCAGAGGAUAAAUUGCUUUCUAAGUUAGACUAUUGAAGUGCAUGCACCAAAUCAUCUUACAUUGAACACUCAUAUCAUGGUUUCUAAGCUUGUAUAUAGUUUCCAGAUUCAGAAACCACAAAUGCAUCACCUUUGGAUUUUAUAAUUCUUUUUAACUGGAAUUUUCAUUACAUUAAAUUGCAUAUUAGAUUGCUCCCAUGGAUUCAAAUAUGAGAUUUAUCACCAGGAUGUCUCAGAAAGAAACACCUUGGGAUUCCAUUUUGAUGUCAAGUGUGCAUAGGUACAUCAUUUAGGAGGAUAGAUGCCAUCAACCUCAAGUAUUUUUCUGCUUCACCCUAAAAUAGCAACUGCUUUUAGGUAGAGAAAAGAACCUCGUAGUUGUCAUUUUAUACUGGAUUUUCUGGUAAAUUUGCAUAUAUAUAUAUAUAUAUAUAUAUAUAUAUAUAUAUAUAUAUAUAUAUAUAUAUAUAUGUGUGUGUGUGUGUGUGUGUGUGUGUGUGUGUGUAAAUUUUUGAAACAAUCCUCUAUCUUUGAUAAAUUUUUGUAAAGCUUCUCAAUUUUCAGAAAUUUUUAUAGAGUAUUUUUUUAAUAUAAAUGAUCAUUUUACCUUGAACCCUUAUCAGAUCUCUAUCUUACACCCUUGUCAUAUGUUGCCUUCACUGUUGUGUCCCCUCCUUUUUGCUUUAGCUUUUACCCUUUGGUCUCUAUUGGACCCGUCACUUCUGCCUUUAUACAGUGAGUAAUGACGGUGACCUCGUUGGACCUUUUCUUGCGGGCGAGGAUGGCGAGGGUUGCCAUUGCCUUUGCGGAUCUCGUUGGACCCUCUCUUGUGUACGAGGGCUAUUGUUGUUGCAUCCUCUCCUUCCUCGUGUGAGGGCAACAAGGACUUCUCUCUUUCCUUACAUGAGGCUAUUGUCUUCGUAAGGAUAGUAUAAGACGGAAGCAAAUACAGAUCCGAUGGACAUAAGAGUAAAUUAAUUUUUUCACAUAACAAAGGGAUGUUUUGUGGGAUUUCUCAAAGGUGAAUUUUUUUUCAAGAAUUUAUCAUGUAUAUAUAUAUAAUUUAAAAUUUUAAGAAAUAUUAUUAAAAUUUGGAGAGGCAAAUCUGUUAUUUCUGAACGAUGAAAGGAUGGAUAUGUAGAAAAAAAAAAAAGCUAAAAAUGCCUUGUACCACAGAGAGGUCUAGGAGGACAAGGCUAACCACAUGCUGGACCCCACAGAGGUCUAGGAAGACAAGGCUGGUAGCUGAGCCGGGUUACGAGCGCUACGUACCAGCUGUUUCUAACCGCGUCACUUGCCACCGUGGGCAGGACGUGGUCCCGACCUGAAUAGUUACCGUGUAGCGCUCGGGUCCCAUGUGGGCUCGCUGCUUGUUCCAGUGACAAUGAAGGUAAACGAGCAAACGGUACCAAAAAUAUAUUUGCUCCACCGAAGCAAUAUUAUAUAUUCCUACUCGUUUGACCGUUACCCGGCGACUUACCUGCUUUACCAUUGAUGACGUACUACGCCACCUCGUGAUCUAGCGAGAUCGGUCCCCACUUAGUAAAGAGGCACUAUCUAUUAUUAUUAUUAUUAUUUGGGAUGAAAUAGCAUAGCCAAAUUGGACGAAUCGGAGUCGAUACGGAAUCGGACGCCAAAUCCCAUUCCAAACAAUAAUAUAAUUUAUAUUAAUAUUAAAAUCCAUAACUCGAAAUAAAACCCUCUCGCUCGUGAUUGAGCGGGGAUUUGAAUCCCGCCCACCGCUCGAAGUCUUCAACCCUAAUCCAAUCUCUGCCCCCGAUGAAUCCAAGGCCCUAGCCUCUUCCCCCUCCCUCGACCCCGUUCUCCGUCGUCUUCGAGGCCGGGUCCUGCUCGAUUCCCUUCCUCCGGGCUUGUAGUCGUGCCGAGCGAUGGACGCGGGCGGAGGGCCUUUUCGCACCGCCGAGGAUGUCUUCCGCGACUUCAGAGGUCGAAGAGCUGGCAUGAUCAAGGCGCUCACGACUGGUGUCUAAUCGCAAUAUUGUUUUUUUGCUUUCACUGAUUUGCUUGAGUCGUUGUUGUGGCUUCUCGAUUUUGACGUGUUAUCUUGCUUCUGGCGGUGAUGCAGAUGUCGAGAAGUUCUAUCAGCAGUGCGAUCCAGGUAAAAGGUUUUACCUCUUUCUUGGUGUUCCUCUCUUUGCUUAGGCGACGCCUGUGGGUAGUAUGUUCUUUUAGUUCCACAGUUUUCUCCUCGCGUUUAUUAGAUAUUUUGCUGAUGGAUUAUCAACGGAAUCUUAUUUUGGUUUUCUAUUUUGGUCUUUGGCUAUUGGGAGUGUGUCCUUGUCUUGCAAUGUGUCUCCUGUAAUCCGUGAAAGCUACUUCUCAUUCAAACCGUAGUUUCUUGUGAAAAAAUAUGUCCAGUAGUCAUGUACUAGUUAAAUCCUUCCGUUGUAUGAUGGAAAAUUCCAACUUUGACCAGAAAUUUAUUAUGUUUGGGAACGCUACAUUUAUGAAUCAGGUUAGGGUAGUGGUUGGGUGCUGGAAUUAGCUUGAGGUUUGCAGGAUUGCUUGGGUCUGAUUAUGAACCGAGUCUCUAAUUCUUGACCACCCUUCUCUUUGUUAUGCAUGCAGAAGCAUGUAAACUCAAUGCAAUCUCUCUCUGCCACUAUUUUUCUAGAUAGCUAGUUGGGUUAUUAUCUGUGACAACAUACAUGUGGCAAGCAAUGAGGACCAGGCAUGAUGUUUCCCUCUUCCUUCUUUUUUCCUUCAUUCCUUUUCACCUUCUCCUUCUCUUUUUUCUUUCUUUUCUCAUUUGUAAAUCUCGUAGUCAGAGGAUAAGAUCUCAUUACAUGUGAUUAAAUUUGCUUGUUGUCGUUUUGGGGGGUUGGGGUGGGUGAUUGAUAAAUUAACUAGAUCAAAGUUGGAGGCAGCUCAUGCAGAACACUGAAUAUAUGUGGUUUGGAUCCAUCAGAUUUGAAAAUUCUAGUGAUUCUUAAUGGUGAUGCUGAUUUUCUGUCAUUGUGACAGAGCACAAGAGAUGGAAAGACAUUGUAUAUUGUAUAUUGUUCCCUAAAGAAAGCUGAUGCAGCUUGAGAACUCUUUUGUGAACCAGGGGGAGGAAAUGUUUCAAAUUGUAGAUUGAUCUGCAUAUCUGAGGCUUCUGUGGGUCUUAAAGUGAAUAGGUGCAACUAAAUUUGUUUUACUGUGCAGCUGCUAAGAUCUAUCUUGUUUAGGUCAGAUUUGAUGCCGAAAAGCUUUGCAGCUUGUAACUGUAUUAUAGCAGUUCUUCAGGAUUUUGUUUUGUGGUACUAGAUUUCAGCAACUAACACAAGUAGUUGUUUGAGUAGUAAGAGAGAUAAAAAAGGGGUGGAGGUAGGAGGGAAGCCAAUGCUCGACUAGAGAUGAGGAACAGGAGAAAAUGAAGAUAGAUGCCCAUUAUCGAUAGAUACUAACCUUAGUAUUUUUUCCAUAUAAACUUAUUACUAAGGAGGCCAAUGCUUCCAUUUAUUACUUGCUUGCAUGUGACCUAAGUUAGCAAAAAAUGGAUAGAAUUCUUGUUCAAAUCUAAUUUUAUUAAAUACUAUCUAUUAAGAACCAUAUAUAUUCUUAGAUUAGUCCUACCUUCAUGGAUUUAAACAUCUAGUUACUUAGACACCUAACCAAAAUAAUACCAAAUUGAUCCAAAUCAUAUAAAACCAAUGAAGUCAUCGAGUGCUCACUUAGGUGCUUGGGCAAGACGAGGUGAGGGUCGAGUGCUUGGUAACUGGUCCAGGCAAGGCGCCUUCAAUUGAGCAUCGCCUUGGCACAUGUUUGUGCCCUAUCGUCGGGCGGUUGAGGUGCUCGCCUCAACCAAAUUCUGUUGAGUCGAAUCUGAACUAUGCCUAAUUGGUUGUGGUUUGUUGAUUUUGGUUCAAUCGAACCAUAUAGGCGUGAGCCCAAUUCCUUCCCUCGCUCCUCCCCCCUCGCACACAAGAAUCCUUAUUUCUCCCCCUAGAAAACCUAAUCGAUGGCGUUGUCUUCCUCUCUAAUGGCGAGAGGCUUCUGUGCGGAGGGAUAGUCGACUCCACUCUCUAUCGAAGUCUCUUUUCUUCUCAUGGUAACUCUUUCUUUCUCUCUCCCCCCCCUCCCAUUAUCGUUUCUUCUCUUGUGUCAUCAGCCCCUCCCUCUUCCUGUCAAGCCUCCCCGAAUCCCGACAACCCCCCUCUCCCUCCUCCUUUGCCUCCUCUCCAGAUAGCUCCCCACUCGUUGUCCUCACCGUCUCCUCCACCAUCACCUGUUCCCUCUCCCCGCCGAGCGAACCUGGACUCCAACAGCCCUCCUCUUCCUCGUCCGAUUGCUCCCCUCUUGUUGUCCUCGCCUUCUCCUCGGCCACAACAAUUCUAGAUAGAGUCAAGGUUAAUAUAGAGGGAGGGAUAUAUUUUUUUUUGAAAAAUGUACUGGGAAUUCUGUCAUGUUUUUUGAUGAUUUGUUAGGGUUCUGGUAGUUCCGGUUUUGUUUUGGCCAAUACAAGUCAUUCAAAUGCUAAAAACAUACAUGGGGCUGAUAUUCAAAAUUUGGGAAAUUUUAAGCUUAUAUCAGGCAAAUUGACCAUAUGGAAAUAUCAGGAGCUAGUUGGGAUCCCAUUUUGGAGCACUUUAAUUUGUGAUUCGGACUCAGUUUUUAUCAAUCCUCUCUAUUGGAGUGAGCUUUGGGUAGCAUCUCAGACAUUAUUCUCAAGGUACAUAGAAUAAAAAGAUCUAGCCAAAAAGAUCAAAAGAAAGACCCACAUCCGGAAGAUGUAAUUUUGAAAUUGUCAUUAAUGAUCCACUCUUCAAGAAGCUGAGAUAUGUUUUAUGAGGUUGAUGCUUGAUUGAUUAGCUCAACAUGAAGCCUGAUUUUAUCUUAUAGUCAAACAGCAACCUCUCAUGAUAAAUCCUCAUCUUCUUAUGACUUAAAUUCCUUAUUCAAUUUUGGGCAGUUUUAUCAUAGCUUCAAAAAUGACCGGAGGUCUCCUAGCUAUCCCAUGCAGUCUGGGGGCAUUAUAAUUAUUGUUGGCUGCCUGAGCCUGUGCCUUUUCCAUUGUGGCUGAUAGGCUUGACCAAGUCAUAUGGGUCAGGUUGACUCUUGGGAAGAUUGCAAUCUUUGACAUGUUUGAAUCCCCUCUACAUUAGAUGAUCAUUGCACCAUUAUGUAUCUUGAUAUAAAUAAUUCUUGAAGUUCGGUUGUUGGAAUUCUAUUCAUAGUCCAGAGCUAAGUUAAAGUUGAACCAAAAUUUGUGACCUUUGGAAGAUCUCAUGGACGAGUUUAGUACAGCGACAUGUUGAUGAAAUGACCAGCACUGUUCCAGAUUUAGUGUCCUGGUUAUGGCCAAUCAUGUCUUGGCCAUUUAAUUUUUGUUAUUUUAAUAUUUUUUUUGAUUACUUUUAUGGCUAUCAUAAAGGUUAGUGGGGACGUAUAGAAAAUUCUAGUUCAGAUAAGUGUCCUCAAAACAGUUUCUAGUUCCAGAGGCUCUAGGCAUUCUUGAUUAGGAGUAUAUGUGGUUGAAUUAAAUACAAAAGUGGAAGUCAUUGGAUGUUGUAGCAUCAUCUACAAUGGGUUUGUCUAACAGAAAUUAAGAUGAUGGUAUUUUUGGUUUCUGAUUUCAAUUUUUUAACUUGUUUUCCCCUUUUAUUCUAAUUCCUUUUCGUUUUGAACCCUCACAAUUAACACGAUUUUUCCACAAUUACAUGGUUGACUCACAAGUUUAACCAAACAUGAUAUGAUUGACAUGCAAACCAAAUGCAUGCAUUUAAGAUUUUCUGAUCCAAUAAUUAAUUUGGUCAAUCUAUGUUAGUGGUGUCUAGAUACCAAACUUUUUUAUGUUGCAAACCAUAAGCUUAGUCAGAAACUGGGUUUGUGACAGGUGGAUUCUGUCCCAAGCUGUUAAUUAUGUUGCAAACCAUAAUGUCAGUCAUGGGUUCUUUGUUAACUAUGGGAUCCUGUUAUGGGUUGGAUUGGAUGAGUGUCCAGUCUCUCAUAGGCCUUGAAAAGAGAAUGUAAUUAGUUUUUCUAAGAUUCUUUCCAAGGAAAAUGCAAAGUUGUUGGAAAAUGGGUUUCCCAACAACUUUGGGCAUAACUUUGUAAGUGUGACCUUGUUUCUAUUUUUGUAUGUUAUUUUCAUAACAUUUAAGUUCACUACUCUGAGUUUUUUUAACAAAAUACAAAAAUAUGCUGUUAUAGCGUGCAUAGCAACUAUAAUUUACCAUCACCUGAUUGUGGCUCUCUCAAGGAUAUUUUUUUGGUGUCAAUUCCAAAAAAGGGAAACACCUUCUUUAUAAUUGAUAUCAUCUUUGUCAAAACUUGUCAUUACUGCUUCUAUAAAUAUUACAUGAUCUUAAUGGGGCUUCAUGAAUGAUCAUGAUGACUUUAGGUCCUUAGCAAAAUUGAAGUAAAAGGUGUAAGUUUGAGUAAAAUCCAUGUUACCUAAGGCUAAUAAUUUAUCCUUAAUAGACUUUUUUUUAGUUUUGAUAAACUUGACGAUCCUAACAAUCAUAUGUCUAUCUCUAAAUUACCAAAUGUAACCUUGGUUUCCUUUACAUGUGUAGUCCUGUAGUAUUUGAGAUGUGUUUUCUACAACUAUGGGCCAUGUUGUAUGGUAUAUCAAUAUCAACUUUCAGCACAGAUCUGUAGAAGAGCUUUGUGAUGGGGUCAUGCAGGGUGCUAUAUUCUUUGAUCCCCUUUUGUAUGUUAAUCAAGUGUUAAAUGUGACUGCUGAUAAUUGUUGUUUUUCCCUUUUUUUUGGCAGAGAAAGAGAACUUAUGUCUCUAUGGGCUUCCUACAGAGACUUGGGAAGUAACCUUGCCUGCAGAGGAAGUACCUCCAGAACUUCCUGAGCCAGCCUUGGGAAUUAACUUUGCUAGAGAUGGCAUGGAAGAAAAGGACUGGCUUGCUUUAGUUGCCGUCCACAGUGAUGCAUGGUUACUUUCUGUUGCCUUCUAUUUUGGGGCACGUUUUGGAUUUGAUAAGGAGUCAAGGUAAUGUUAUCUGAGUGGAGCUGUGGUAAAUCACCUAAACACUGAUGCAAUUAUCUUUUUUUUGUUAUUAUGUUCUUGUUUGCAAGUUCUGAACAUUAUCAGUCUGUUAGGCUUAAUUAUGAGAUACUGCAUGUUUAAUUGCAUAUUAGUUCUUGGUUAAAUUUUCAUUCUUUUAUGGCAAUUGGCAAGCUAUAGGCAGUAACAUGCAGCUGUCAUGUGUUUUGUAUACAACUGGGAGGACUUGCUGCUGAUGAAACAUCAUGGAUGAGGAUUAUUGAAAACAGAAGCGCAUUGUUGUUUUCCCCUAACAUCUUCAAGUAAGCUGAAGUUUCUUAGUUAUGUUUGUUUUGGGGAUAUGGAAAGUGAAGAUUGUGGGUAUUGGUUUAACUGGCAACUGCUCGUCUUAGUAAUCCAGUCAAAGGAGUUUAAUUUGGAUGAUGUGGGAUAAUACAACCCAGUAAAUUGUGGCUUAAAAGAGUCACAUUUUUUUGUUAAUCCAGCUAAUAUGCCAUUUAGGUCACCAAACCAGAAACAGGGUUAAUGUUAGAAAGCUGGGCUAGAAUAAUACAAGCUAGUUACUUCAAUGUCAAUACAAAUGCAUCCUUAAAGACUAUGGGAACCAUUAAGUGAGGCCCUUGAAAACUAUUGUUUAUAGUUAUGUUCAUGUUUUGCUUGAAUUUGUAUGACAUCCAGGAUUUUUUUCCUGUGGUUAAUGUUCUUUCUCUUCCUUAAUAUUCUUAUAAUAAUUGUUUACUGUUCACAAUAUCACUAUAACUCAUUAGAAACUGCAUUUGUUUCAUAUUAUUAAAUGUAAUAAAAUUUUCUUUACAAUUUGGCCAAAAACAGUCAUAUGUUGUAUAUGUUCCAAGAAUCUACCCUGUAGUUUGUCUUAUUCUGAUUUAUAAACUUUGCAACUAAUAUUUUUAUCUUCUAAAUGCUAGUUAACCAUCUCGUAUAUCAUGAGUUUGUUGCUCAUGGUGAUGGUUAUGCUAAUUAGUCUAAAUCUAUUAUAUGUGGCAAACUUAUAAGGUUGGUUGGUUCAUUGUGUAGUUUCAUUUUGUGCAAUUUUGUGUAGUGUGAUCUUAGGUAUUAGCUAAAUCCCUCCAAAAGCUUCUUUUUGGACCAUUGAGAUAGAGACAGGGUUCUCAAUUUCGAUGUGUACUGCUUGGUAUGGGUGGUACGUAUUGGUCCAAGAGGAUAUCGAUACGCGGACCACCCUCUACCGGGCGGCACUAGCGUUUUGACCCUGUAUCGAGUGAUACGAGGUUUGUACCCGACGGUAAUGGUCGAAAUCCGAUCGAUACCGAGGUGUACCAGUUGAUAUGUCUCGGAUUUCGACCAUUAUCAAGGUGUAUUGGUUAGUACGUUGCGAAUUUUGAUCGUUAUCGAGGCAUAUCGAUCGGUACAUCUCGGUAUUGUUGGACUGUUACCUCCAAGUAUUUUUGGAGGUUUUUCAGCUCUUUUUGGGCAUAUCGCUGGUACACCUCAGCAUACCAUCGGUAUGCCUCGAUGCGUACCACCGUACCGAGCAGGGUUUGGUACAUCGGUACGGACCGAAAUUAAGAACCUUGGAUAGAGAGAUUGAUGACUAAUUUGCUUUAGCGUUGUGCUUUAUUCGAUGAGAAGCCAUCCAUCCAUGUCUUCAUUCCCACAUUAGUGAACUUAUCAGUCUCUUAAGACUGACAAGGAGAUUUAUUAGUUUGCAUAUCCCUGUAGCAUGAAAUAGACCCUUGAAGUACUAACAAUUUUGAUACUACUAGUUAAUAUUAUCCAAUUUUUAACUUUUCUUCUCAAAUUCAAUAAAUGCUGGCAAGGAGGAAUAAUACUUUGAAAAAGAAAGAUCCACAUACAGAGGUCAGUUCUUCUGUUAUUUAUUUUCUUUAUGUUGACUUAAGUGCUUAUAAGUCACUAUUGACUUGCUGCAAAACUUGCCUCAAGUGGCUGUUAUUGAUAGUCAUGAUGAGAGCUUUAUUUUUAUUUCCUUUAUUUUGUUAUGUAGUGAAGGCAUGUACAUGCAAUAAUUUCCAAAUCUUGAUCAGAUAUGCUAUCUUUACCUGACCUCUUUUGCAAACAAUAAGUGCUGUAAGAAUAAACUCGAUUUUGGCAAAGAGCUUUAAUGGCUAAUACUUGCUUUCUGUGAAUGGAGUUAUUACUGUCUUCUUGAAGCUAACAGUUUCUAUCAAGUAUUUUAAAUUUAGAAUACUCGUAUAGUCAUUGGAAUCAACAAUGUGCAUAUAUAUACAUAUGUAUGUAUGUAUGCAUAUGUAUACAUACAUAUUGCUAUGGUGAUACCUAAGCAGAUGCUUCUGUUAGGUACUAAGCUUUCUUUUUUUUUUGUUGUCACUUGUUUUUGGAGUUGUUACUGUUAAUUGCUAUGGUGUUAAAGUUUUGAAUGUCUUUAUUUUUCUUGUAUUUCUGGAUUUUAGAAGUUUCCCUGAUUAGGAAAUUCAUAUCAGUUAUCCUUGAUGUUGUGACUAUUACAGGAGGCGACUUUUCAAUAUGAUUAACAAUCUCCCUACCAUAUAUGAAGUUGUAACUGGAACAACCACGAAACAGUCCAAGGAAAAGACCUCGAAUAGCAACAGCAAGAACAAGUCGAACUCCAAGACGGUAAGUUCUCAUGUUAUAUCCUUCCAUUGCUUUUUAAUUUAUCCAUUUAUUCUUAAUUGUUACUUUCCUACGUGGGUUCAGCAGUCCAGACCGGCCGAGCCCCAGGCCAAGGUUUCAAAGAUGCCUCCAAAAGAAGAUGAGGAUAGUGGUGCAGAGGACGAAGAAGAUGAAGAGGACCACGAGAACACUUUAUGCGGUGCAUGCGGUGACAAUUAUGCUAACGACGAGUUCUGGAUAUGCUGUGACGUAUGUGAAAAGUGGUUUCAUGGAAAGUGCGUCAAGAUCACACCUGCCCGAGCCGAGCACAUAAAGCAGUACAAGUGUCCCAGUUGCAGCACCAGUAAGAGGGCCAGAGUAUGAAGCAAGAAGUGUUACUAGUUCUUCAUUACGCCAGAACAGUUCCUUGCAAACAGCAGACAUGCAAGUAGGUUGUAGACUUUGUUUCUGUGUCCUUGUUCAGAUUGUAGUUAAUUGGUGCUGUCUGUGUCCAUUUGCACGAGGGCUUGUUGUGUGUUAGAUCAACCUCCAUUUGCAACAUGUAACUUGGUCACGUAAGGUAGGGACUCUCGGAUUUGACCAAGUGUUGUUUUAGAAGGAAAACUAUAUUAGGAUGUGUUUGUUUUAGUGAGGCUUUCACGACUGAUGAUUUCUUCUGAUUUCUGACACCAGAUGGGUUGGCGGAUCAUUUUUUUGCCGCCUUGGUUGCGAUUGAUUGAUCAUACGCAAUCGUGUUGGUGGUUGCAAGGUGAAAAAUUAGAUGAAAAAGGAUCUCGUGAGAGUUAGAUUUUUUUUUUUAAAAAACUGAAAGAAGUGUGAGAGUUCCAUUUGUUUUUUUAAAUUGAAAGAAGAUUUAUUUUUUUAAAUUGAAAGAAGUGUGUGACUUUUACACGUAAACUCGAACAUAAUAUCCUAUUCACACAUACCUAUCACUUGUGUUAUAAUAUAUUAAUUAGUUUCUAUUUGUCUUAGUUAGUGAUUAAUUUGGAAUCUUUUAUUUUCACGAGGUUAUUCUUGAACUGGGUCAGUAUGGGUUAGAUUAUCUUUAGACUAAAAAAUUUAUAUUAAAAGAUGAAAUAUUUAAUUUUAUUUACCUUAAUAUCGUUGGUUUUAUUAACCAAAAAUAAAGCAUAUAACAGUAUGUGCAUGAUGGCACGAAAACGAUAAUAAAAAAGAUAAUAUCAAAUGUUGUGGUGGAUGGUGGCAUCGUGAGUGGUUGUUGUGGUAAUAGUCGACGAUAACAACGUGAUAGUUGGUUUUGUUGAUGUCAUGACGAGGAGGAGGAGGCAGAGCGACGAGGCAUCUACAUUGAUGUCGGAGGAGAAAGAGGAGAGAGGUGAGACAUUUGCGUUGACGUCGCAUCGCUGUACCUCCUCUUCCUCCUUUGGCAUCGCUCUACAUCUGCGUCGAUGACGGAAGAGGAAGAGAAGGCAAGAGAGGCAUUUGUGUUGCUCACAACGAGGAGGGAGGAUGACGAGGAGGCUAGUGAGGCAGAACAAUACAAUGUCGAAGGAGGAAGAGGUGGCAAGUGAGGCAUUUGCGUCAGUGUCAUGCUCAAAUCCUCGGAUAGGAGCUUUAUCCAGUAGCCCGACGGAUUCGAGGAAGGGGCGAUGGGCGAUAAGGAGGGAGAGGUUGCGAGAGAACUUGACGAAGAGGCACACUUGUUUCGAGCUCUUAAGCUUUAGCCGGUGUGAACGAUGCGUAUGCCCCAACCACAACGACAUGGUCGCAACUUGCUUUUGGAUCAUCUUCACCUGCGACCGGAGGAGAUCUAAUCAAACGACGAGGAUUGAUCGUCCCACAAAAUGGAGGCUCGAAUAGUACAAAUCUGAUAGUGGAAGAGACAACAAACCCUCAUCCUCCUUCCCACUCACCUACGGCGCUGUGGUAGUGGGGGAGAGUAUCAGAAAGAUGCGCUACAAAUACGACAAGCGAGACGACGAAGAAACGACGCAUUACGGUUAGCCUUCGGAUUAGGAAUCACCAUUUUGGCUAGGGUUUCAAGAUCGAUUGGUCAUAUCUGCUCAGUCUCACUUGCCUCAUCUUCCUCCUCUAGCACUAACGUAAAUGUAGAGCGGCUCCGGAGGAGGAAGAGGAGGCAGAGCAAUGCAACGCUAACACAAACGCCUCACCUCCCCCCUCUUCCUCCUAUGGCGUCGACGCAAACGUCUCACUGCUCUGUCUCAUAUUCCUUCUCGUCAUCAAUGUUCAGAUUGAUAUCGACAAGACCGAUCAUUGCAUCAUUGUCACCGGCUACCAUCAUAAUAAUCGCCCACGAUAUCAUCAUUCGUCAUUACCAUUAAAAUUAUCUUUUUAUCUAUCAUUUUUAUGUUAUUUAUGCAUGUACUAUAUCUUUCGCCAGUAAAACCGACGAUAUUAAGAUAAAUAAGAUUAAAUAUUUCACUUCAUCACUAUAAAAUUUUUAAUAUAAAAUUUUUAAAUAUAAAAAAUCAAGAUAAUAAAAAGAUCUAACUACAAUAUUAUAGAUAAUAUGUAAUUAACCCCAUUAAAUGUCUACAUCUGUGCUGACAGCUGUUUAGUUUGUGCAGGCAUAAGCUGAAAUGAACCGAUUCUAAACAGACGAUACAGGAUAUGCGUCUCCCUAAAACUAUGCAUGUUAAUGCCAAAAUAACUCCAUGACAGAUAACUCUGCUUGGAAGAUUUUGACAUUUGUUUACACAUCGUCAAGACACAGGAAUAACAAAAUCAAAUAUAUAGGAGGAGAAUAAAGAUUCAUGCAGCUAAAAAUGACCAACCAUAUUUCGACCAAAUAUAAUACAAACGGAUCUACAAAAUUAUCUUCCUACAAAAAACAUUUUAUGUUGUUGUAAAACCUUCAAUUGAACCCAUCGCUUAGCCUCGGAACCGUUUUUCCAUCAUCUUGAACCUCAAACCUACUAUGUUACAACAAAAUAUUCCUGAAUAAUGAUACAAAGAAAUUUACAACAUUAAGAUGAGAAAAAAGGUACAUCAACCGGCAAAGAAAAAGGCCCACAAAUCUGCAAAGAAAAGACUACCCAUCUAUAUCGCAUAGAAGAAUGAGAAGCUUGCGACUUCAGAAGAUCAAAAUUGCUUCAGAUAUAGUCGGGCUUUAUAACUUGCAAAAAGCAGCAUAUCAAAGAGCCAGUGAAACAUAAAGUCCCAUCACCAUAAUGAGCCAUCUCAUGAAGUGUUAACUGCAAUUGCAUACCCUGCAAUAGAUGGAAGAAUUGUAUACCCUGCAAUUGCAUGAAGUGUUAACUGCUUGAACGUGGCAAUCCACCGUCUUCUCAUGAUGUGAUAUGAAGCAAUAAUUCGACCAUCAAGUUCUCAGUGCACAAUCUUAACUAUGAACAGUCCGUGAAGUGACGCGUCUGCCGAAGUUCUGAGAUCAAUGCAAUCUUAACUAUGAACAGCACUAAAUAGCCUAGCUCUGCCAGGGUUCAGCAAUGACUCCGACAUUAUCCAUCCCUGCAAAAAGUAACAAAAACCUAUGCUCACGCUCGGUUCUCAAUAAAGUUUGUUCAGAUGAAUGCAGAAACGUUAUGAAUUAUGAAAGGCAUGAAUGCUGGUCAGUUCAUUGCCAUACAUUUAUUUCCUACAUAACAAAUGCAGAAACAUGUUAACAGGGAUAUCAGAGUUUUCAUCCUCAUGGCUUUGUACAUCUUCAUAAAAUUGUCACUUAUGGACAUCUCUGAUGCAUUAGUCAUAUAGCAUACCAACACUGAAGUGCAACAAUAAAGCUACAUGCCUAAUUCAAAAUGUUUGGGAUUGGCCAUAAUAUCUUUUGUGGUCUCUCAGCUCCGAAUAAAUGUUGCAUUUUACGGCAACCACCCACACUCAUACACCAGAAAUUAGGAUAAGAGACACUGGACUUGCGGAGUCCUUUUGAAUAUGCAGUGAAAUAUCAGAGGAAUUUGUCAUCACCCCUGCAUAACAUGUAUUCCAUAUUCCCAUUGGAAAAAAAACAAUUAAGAGAAUGAAUAUACCAUAACAGAGGUAUAUAUAAAAAUCGAUUGAAGUGAACACCAUCAAUAUCCUGAUAAUGACUAUGGGUAAUUCUGAUGUCCUUUCAAAAUAUUCAAAAUUGCUUAGUUUCUUUUUCUUUGAUCUGACAAUGGACUAUCGUAAGUACUUUGAUAUUGUGAUUACACAAUUCAUCUUUUAAAGUGAAGACCAAGGUUCUACAAGCCAGUUGUAUAUAGGUCGGUGUUUACUAGUCUAAUGGUCAACCAACAAGACGAUUGCAGAUGAUGCAGCCCAAUAUUGUUGUACUGUCUAGCAAAACCAAUGCAGAUGGUUCCAGCUUAUGCAGUUGAAUAAUGUUGUACUCUCCUUCUCUCUCCCCUCCUCUGCCACUCCAGCCUCCACCUCCUUUGCCUCCAUGUCACCUUUGACUUCUCGCUUCUGUCUUGACUGCAGUGCCAAGGGCAUUGUCUUUCUCACUCAUGUCUUACUCAACUAGCAAUGCCUACAGUUGAGUUCCGCUUGAGCUCAGCAUCCUCCACUCUCCGCCACCUCUUGUCCCCUCCUAAUGUCAUCUCCACUGACAGGAUUGUGGGUUUUGGCAUUGGUCAAUUCUGUAGCAGCAUCCUCGCCUCCUUUGUCACCCGCCCAAGCGACAAUAUAUUCUCCAACAACAUCUUCUCUCUCUUGCCUCUCUGCUUGGUUCCAACCAGCAAUAUCCUGUGUCAGCACUCGGUGUACUACUGUAUGGUACUAGUAUAUAUGAAUCCAAUUGACAACAGGUAUCCGUACUAGACUGAGAUUUAAUCCUUGUCUAAGAUAAUCUAAAGUGAGGACCCAAUCACUGUACAUAAAUAUUAUCCAAUCUUACAGAAUUAAAUUAUGAUUAUAAAUUGCUACUAUGUCCAGCUAGGUUUAGAUUGAAUAUAAUCAAAUGCGUGUUUAAGCAGAAAGGUCAUAGCAGUGUCUAGAGUAGAACAUCCCGAAAAAAUGAGUGCACCUAAGCUACCAUGAAGUAGCAAGUCUUCCAUGCAUCACCUGUUCCGCUGCUUUCCUCUUGAAUAUCGCAUAUGAUGAUGAAACAAUCUUGCAAGACUCCACCAUAUGAGCAAGGAAGUUGGCAUUUGUAGGAAGUAUGGCCUCUUCAUAUUUUGAUUGGUUAGAAUUCCUCAGCUUUUUCAAAGCUUGAUUUGUGUUUGACAAUUGGAUGAAAUAAAGAAGAACAUGAGCCUGUCAUGAAGACACAAUAUUAAACAAGCAGGUGUUUCUGGCUAAUCCACCAUCAAUAGCCCAUACUCACAUGAAAAGCUGCUUUCAAUAUAUCAUCUGAUUUUGCUUGAUCCUUCAGUAAUGCAUAUAUUUUGUCCUUUGAAGGGUUGUAGGACACCAUGUAUCUUUCCUUCUGUAGUUACACAGUGUAUAAAGAAAAGAACAAAUAAUGCAACUUGGCUGAAAAAAAAUGUGGGAAAGAAAAUUCAUGACACUAGUGUUGAUUUCAAAAACUUGAUAAAAUAUGUAGCAAACUGAAGCAUGCAUGUAGAACAAUCAUAAACAUUUACAUGAAGUACAUUGCAACAAACAAAUACCAAGAGCAAAAGGUAAAAAUACUACCUCAAACAAGUGCUCUAUGGCAAUAAAUGAAGUUGGCUCCUGGAAUGCAUCACAAAAUCUUGGGCCUAAAAUGCCAGCAUGCAGAAGUAAAUAUAAAAGUUUAGACUUCUGAAAGAUGGAUAGAAGUCAAACAACCCAGUGGUUGCAUACCUAGAACAACUGAUGUAUGUUUCGACCAUGGAGGACGAAAAAUAUUUUCCUUAGAAUUUCCUUCCUUAAGUGAUGGAACAUGCCCUAGAAAAUUGCAAGAAUCGAACAUUAAGUUGAGGUUAAAAAAUUAUAAUUUUAGAACCAAAUCACUAGCAAGGCUUUUAUCAUAUAGCAAAAUAUUAGUUAAGCUUGUAGACUGACAAAUGAAGACUAUGAGAGGGUACUCAGCUUGAUUUAUUUAGUACAAACAUAUGUUUAGAAAAGCAGUUCAAACUGAUACAGAAUUGUAACAAAGAACAUAACAAAUAAGUAUUUCUGAUUAUUAUGAAUGACAUGGUUAGCCUAAUGUCUAAUUAUUGUUUGGCAACAUUCUAUUGUGCAGUGAAAUGUGGCCGCAUGCUUAACCACAUAAAUAAAUGCAGUUAGGUUACAACCUCACAUAAUAUAUGAAGCCACACUAUUCGAGAUAGCUCUACAUGUUUAACAUGACAUAAAAUGUGAUUAAAUAUGCAGUCCACAUAAGCAGAAUGUGUGGCGACACAAUGAGGGUUAUGGUUCAUUUUUUCUAAUUACUAUUAUUCUUUGUAUUCCUAUCAUCAUUGUCAUUAAUAUUAAUCUAAUAUUUAUUACCAACAACAUAUAUAAAGCUGAUCAUAUUGAUCCUCUCUUGACCCUGCAUUGAUAGGAGCUCCAUCUGUUCGGACUGCUCCUACUAUUAUGUUCAUUAUGUGCUUGUAUAUAUGUGUCACCCUUUCUUCCUCCUAGUUUCCAUUCUUGUUCUUACUUUCUCUUUUACUGGCCAAACUUCAAAAUUUGUAAACCACGCCAAACUACCACAUCACAUGUUAAAUCCUUUAUAAUGGUGACAGAAAUUCAAUUAUAUUUUAGAAGACUUGUUUGACCUACCAGUCUUGAUGAAGGAAUCCACUGCAACAGUGAAUCUUGCUCUGUUUAAUGUAUUUAAUACAAUGGAUUUCACCUGUUAAGAUGGAUAAAAGAUUACAUUAAGCAUGUGUCAGAGAUAACUCUUAGUUAGAAAAGCAACAUAUGUAAACAGUAAAGGCUAACCGAUACUGACCUCUUGAUAUGCACUAAAAACAUAUCCACAUGACAAGAAUGCAAAUGAGGCCACCAAAGAUGGGUUCCUUUUUGAAAUCAAGAUGCAGAGUCCAGUUCCCAACUGAAAAUAAUGCGAAAUAUAUAUGGUCAUAGUAGUUUAUAAUGCAUUUUUAUCACAAUGCUUAAUAAAACAUCAAAAACGGUGUAUAAACCAAAUGAAGUAUUAUGUGCAAUCUUAAGAAAACACUAUUCCUCUGAAAAAGAUCUACAUGCCUCUCUCUCUCAUUUGUAGAAAUCAAUUCCCGUUAUUGAUAGUAACAUAGGUUGAAGAGUCCGCAAGCAAAGGAUAGUUUGACAUUUUAAUUAUCCAAAAUAUCUAGCUUUUAAGAUUGAGUUAAAUGUCUUAUAGCAGCAAAGUUAGAAACUGGAGAUGCACUUAUAACAUGCAAGAAUUAGCGAAAUUCACAACAUUGAACAGUAAAAUAUUAAAAAAGGUCCAGCUGAGAUGCUUGGCACCUAUGUUUUAAAUACCAGACAGACCGGGUCUGGUCCAAAACCAAUAUGUGGACUAUCAACUACCAUCCGUUCUGGUUCAGGGACCUUAUAUUAGGGUACUAAUCAAUCUCUGGUUUGGCACACAGAUAUACCACAACCCCAGUGAGAUUCAAAGUAGGGUAAGCUUGUCAAGAGACACAAAACUUCAUUAGGAGAAUCCUGAACAAACAAAUUGAACAAGGUGCUGGAAAUAAAAUAAAAUUUAAGGAUCAUCACAGCAACCCCUAAUUAGAUUCUGGAAAUGAAUGUUAAAGUGAUUCCCAACUAUCCAUGUUUACCAGCACUAUGUAAUCUCCAUGCCUUAAGUAUCUCAAUAUCGUUGAUAAACUAAACCAUUAUAGAAUGUCUGUGACCUUGUCUGUGAUCUGUCCACCUUAUUCUUGAGGCAAGAUACUUGUCCACUUGUCACAGUUUUAUUUUCAGGGUUUCAUAUAUUUGAGAGAAGUUGCUUCUGCACAAGGCUUUUAUAAUUCAAGCCAGGUAAUGUCUUUCCCACCUCAUUAGUUUCCUUUUUAAUAGGUGAAUUGAUAAACCACUCGGAUGGUAGCAAGGUCAAAAAAGCCUUGUAAUUGAGGGAAUUCUUAGAAGUGCCACCAGGCCAUGGAUUUCAUUGGUGAUUCAUGUCGAUUUUGGCUAGCUGGUAACUAGAAUAUCAUCUUGGUGUCAGCAUGUUGUUUUAUGCCAUCUUGAAAGUGUGCCAGUACUGUGUUUGCAUAUGAGAGAAAAUCCAAUGCCAGAUGACAUAAAUUCCAUGCUGAUCCACAUCAGUGAGACAGUAUAAUUAGUAUCACCAUUUUGAAGAAUCUGUACCUUUUUAAAGUAUCUGUAAUAGUUAGAUAUCUCCUUUUCUCACAAAAUGAAAAAGUAGAUACUUUUAAGGAUCUUUCUGGUACUUAUCAGAAAUUUAUGAUAUUUUUUCUUUAUAAUUGUCUACCUGAAAAUGAUAAAAAGAUUUACUUGUAUUAAAGCAUUGUUAUCAUUGAGAGGAUCAUUCGAGAAUGGUUGAUAGACAUAGGUUUCACUAUUUUUCUUGCUUUGCGACCUUCAUUCUUUAUAAAGUGAGACCUUUUUCAUUAACUAAAUUAUGUAAGCUGGCAUGCUUACUUGUCAUCUGUUGUCAUUAUGUUGAAGCUGCAGAUAUCUUUAAUAAUUAAUAAACAUAAAAAUAUAAAGCUUGUCAAAUAUCAGGAUAUGCCUAUCAUGUAGUCUCUCAGCAAAUACCAAAUGAGUUUUGAUUUAAAUAGUCACCAUUGUUUCUUCCCUAAUUCUGCAAUUUAGAUUGAGAAUAUAACAAUUUUAUUUCUAAUAUUUAUGAAGCUAAAAUGUUUCUUAGGUAACUACAUUGUUUUUCACCUUCUCUCUCCCUACUAAAUGACAAUUUUGCUAACAGCUUGAAAGAUUCAGUUGAGUCUUGAGAAAAUGCUUUCUAUAACUUAAAAAGUGAAAGACAAGUAAGACGAUACUAGAAAUGAUAGCUGCAUUUAUUCAUAUAGAAUUGCUUGUGCCAGGUAAGUGAGCAUAUCCUCGAAUAACAUACCAGAUCAGCCAUAUUACCAACAGAUUCUCCUUUAGCAGUUACAUCUCCAAUAUUUUCACCUUUGGCAUAGGCCUUGUAGAUUGGAGUGCGUGUCGAUGUUGAUGUCACAGCAGCAACAUUCUGUAAAGGACAAAAAUUGGAGACAUCAUAUGUCAUGAACAUCCCCAGGUAGAAGCCAGAAACUGAGGACAUGAAUUUGUUUCUUCAACCUUCACCACGUUAGCUGCACAAGCCAAUGGCAAGAAAAGGUGUGGAACAGCAGCAGUUGCUAAUUCUACCCCAGCACCUAACUCCAUUAAAAGAUCACCCGCAAAGCGAAGCUGCGGCAAAUAUCAAUCAUCAAUCACUGGUAUCUGUAUCUGUCAAUCACUGGCAAAUAUCUGUAUCUCCAUUAAAAUUAAAUUACAAGAGCACAAGAGCUUACCUGCUUUAGAUCAUAGUCAAACUUCUUUCCUUGUCAUGCAAAGAGCAUUUUGCCAAUGCGUCCAGCACCAUCCUGAAUAAUACUGAAUGUGGUUAAAAAUUUAAAACAGUCUAAAUGAAAAUCAAUUAAAAAAAUAGAACUGACAGAAAUUACAGGAUAAUAAGAGUAAGAAACAUGCCUAUGAUCUUCUCUAGAGAAGAGGGGGGAGAGAGAGAGAGAUUCAUGCCACUAAUCAAGCAAUGAAGAGUAUGGUUUUUUGCUUCGUAAGUAUCUAAAUAUAAGUGCAAUGGUUAUGGUUUAAAAUUCAUAAGUAUUCUAUCAAAUGGAACAGCUACAUGCAUGUGAAAGGAUCAGCUACCAGUAACAUCAACUGAAGUAACUUUAUUAUAGCUUGAUUGCGAUGACAGCUAUCUAAAAAGUAGUUGCUUUCACCAGGUUGACUAUAAGAUCAGGAAACUCUAAAAAAAAUUAAGUCAAGAUCACAACAUGUCAAUAGGUAAAGCCAGUGAAUUCCAGAACGGGAAAGCCAGAUGUGGGAGGAAAACAUCUACGAGUUGAUUAGUCCCAAAAAGUAAAGGUCAAGCUUCAGUAUUUGAGCAACAGAUGUCAUUAGAAUUGGAUCUUACCUCAACAGUUAUUUAAAAGAAAAUUCAUAAUAAGAAGUUGUUUAAUGAACAAUUACUUUUAACAAAUAUCUUCUGCAGAGAAGAUGAGUUAAUUCAUAUGUUUAUGCAGUGAAAGAUCAAAUGAUAAAACUAAAAGAAUUUCACGUACAUACAUAAAAAUCAGAAGUAAUGGAAAAAGCACCAUGGAUCAGUUGCUACGAAACUGCUCAUAGGAAAUGAAAUGUUCAUUGAUAUCAAUAUAAACCUGUUAGCAAAAAUCUAUUUACACAGCCUGGGAAACAACUAACAUGGUGUGCGCUUUACCAAAUUCAAAAUGGAUGCAACAAAUAAGCCUGCAAAAUUGCAUUGUACAUGGUGGUCUACACCUGAUCAAAUAGAUCUGGCAAGGGCCAAUAGAAGCUAUUAUUUUUUAGGACCGUUGAGACAAAAAACGUAAUAAAUGGGUGCAAGGCACUUUCAUUAGGAAAAUACGCAUAACCUAUAUUAUAUCCAUAUCAUUGCAUUUAAAGUGGAUAAUGACCAUAAGCUAUACAUGCAGCAUUAACCAUUUUCACUUGCACAAUUGAGGUAAAGUGGAUAUCUAAAAUACUGUCGCUGAAAUCCAAACUUCUGUGUUAAAAACACAUAAUGUUAGCUAUUAUUGUUAUGCCAGAAGACGCAGAUUUUUUUACCUUGAGUAUCCAAUUAAUGGCAACGGCACCUGAUAUUGCUCUAUUUUUGGAUACUCCAACGGAGCUCAAUAGUGUCCGUGUCGUGAAAACACCCAUGGCUCCACCAAAGAAAUACUAAUAAAUAAUGUCAAUCAUUAGUAACAAGGGGCUCAAGAAAAAUAAAAAAAGAUUCAAAAUGAAUCCUUCUAAAUAAUUUUGAGACACGUAUAGAAAAAAAUAUUCAUUUCAGAAUGUUUCAGACAAAAAAGGUACCUUCAGAGCUCUCCAAGUCAUGUAUGGAACAUAUGAAGGGGUAACACUAUCGGGAAAGCCUUCAGGCACUACAUAAGAUCUUACAAAUGACAUCAAUUCCUGCACCAAAAUGUAAACUCAUGAUGCAGGGAUGACCAAGAACUUUGUCUUUGCUUAAAUUUCUACAAGAAAAUAUAAACAAGCAUUCAUUUUCCUGAUAGGUGCGACAGAUAUCCUAUGCAAACACUGCACAACCCAGAGUUUUCCCAUGAAUUAAUGGAUAAUAUUACAUGCAAUAUCACAUUACAGAACAUAUGGAAAUUUAAGUUUGUAAAUGCUUUCCUUUCCAGCGUCCUAAAAGAAUUUACAAACUGGGAAUACACAAAUCGAAACUGGAAUGAAAAAGAUGACAGAUCUUAAUAACCUCAAACAUUCACCUUCUUUUUGGCAAACAAGGGGCAUUUGUGAAAUAAGACACCGCAUGUGAAGAUCAAACUUAAAUAUACCAAUAUGUGAUCCUAAUGAAUAUCCUUUCUCAUUUUACAGGACACUCCUGUCGGUCACCCUUCUUAGGCUUAUAUAUCUGAAUUGUACUAUAAUUUUCCAAUAUAUUAUUCAUGUUCCGCAUCAAUUUCAGCAACAAUGUCUUGAUGGCAUCAUGUUAAUUACCAUCUCUCCUCUUGCUUAAUCUACUCAGUCCAAACUAUUUGUUCUGUACGGUGCAACAAAAAGCAACCGUAACAUGAAGGAGACAAAACUUCCUCCUCAACAAUCUAAAACCGAUGUUUUUUCUAUGUCGCUGCAGGCAUCUCAGGGAAGAUAGGAAAAAAAAUAAUUCAUGCGAUUGGGAAGAAUGAAGUACAAAAAAGAAAAAAGAUACAUUUUUUACCCGUUAAACGAUUAAAUCGCAAAGAAAAUUGAGCACCGUCCUGGAUCAAACAAGUAAGAGGAGAAAAAGGAGGCAAUAACUUCUUCGGAUAUUCCAAUUACACGAUCCAGAAGCAACUGAUAUACAUCUCACCUCCAAGGGAGCCAUCGGGCUCUGCAUCGGCACGGCCCGGACGGCCGAGCCCCUGCGCGGGUGACCACCAUCGUCCACCACGUAGCUCCACCUCCGCCCGUCGAUCUCCUCGCAGCAGAGGACCCUGGGCGCGGGCGCCGCAUCGAGGGCGAGCCCGCCCACAGGCGGUCCGAACCUGAUCUCCGCCUGAACCCAAUCCGCCUGCCGCUGCGGCAGAGGGGGGUGGGAUCCGAGCGGGGGCGAGGCGAGAGUGGCCCGAACGGCGUCCCGGACGAGGCCACGGGCAUCCGGGGCGCUCCCACGGGUCAGGCCCAGGGCGGAGCUGGCAGAUUUCUUCAACGCGAUCGGAGCCAUCGAUCGAACAAGAGGAGGGAAGGGAUUCGAUUAGGUGAUGAAGAAGAAGAAGAAGAAGAAGAGGCUAUGGAGGAGGAGGAAGAGAGCCUCGGUUUGAUCGCGGCCGCAUUUGGAAGGCGUGGGCGCGAGCGUGGGCGUGGGCGAUGGCGAUCGCGACAACAACCGAACAAAGGAGCGGAGUAAUAGAGGUGAAGAGGGUGGAGGGCGGUAGUGGGACAGUUGGGAAUAGUGUUGCAUGGUUGGCUGUCGAUGAGGAACACCUCAUUUAAUCUGCAUAUAUAUCAACCACUAUUAUUCUCUUCUUUUUUAUAUAUAACAUUAUUUCAUCUGUAUAUAUAUAUAUAUAUAUAUAUAUAUAUAUAUAUAUAUAUAUAUAUAUAUAUAUAUAUAUAUAUAUAUAUCAACUACUAUUAUUCUCUGGUUUAUAUACAACAUUAUAUAUAUACAUGUAUAUACAUUAUAUAUAUUAAACUGUAAAAUUACUGAUGGUACAAUUUGACACACAUUUAGGUCUCAUCAGCUAUAAAGUUGAUUGAAUGAUCUGAUGGCAAUACGCCAUGUGUUAAAAUGAAGGAUGGUAUUGACUCCUCACAUAUGAACAAAAACUUAAUAUCAAGACCUAAGGAUUGCCAGGUAAAUAAUAAUAAUAAUAAUAAUUAUUCUUAUUAUUAUUUGCAGUUCACACAAUUGGCACUGGGAUCAACCUGUAUUGGAUUUGAAUGGAUAAAAAGGAAGAUACAUAGCAUUACAGCAACUUAUUAUGAUCAACCUGUAAAUUCCUAGAUGAUUUGUUCUCAAGCAAAAUCCAAACAUUGCUCUCAUAAUCCACCACAAGGAACCCACCAAGAACUGUAAUCCAGGAAAGCUAUGUAGCUCAUGAUAUACCACAACGAAUGCUCUCUCUCUCUCUCUCUCUCUCUAAUAAUGACUUACCCAGAGGUUACAAAAGAGAAGAGUAGUGAGCCCAUUCAAAAUUAUGGGCUUUCUUAUGGACAUUCCCAUUAUAUGUGUGUGUUGAGAAUGAAUUAUGCUUGCCGUAUAAUCCGAAAUAAGCAACCCAUUGUCUUGCAUAUGUUGACAGACAUCAUAGUCGUAAGGAUCUCACAGAGAAGAUGAGUUCCUCAAGUUGGUGGAGUGAAGACACAAUUUGUGCAAGCAUGAAGACUGUGUUUGACAGUGUUUCAUCACUAAUGAGAUCAGUCCUAAAUAUUGCAUCACUAGAUGUCAUGCCGAUUAGCUAUAUGCACUUGCUUUUUGUUUGCAGCAUAUGAUUUCCACUCAGAUAUGCUGCCUUCUGGGGGAGGGGGGGGAUAAAGAAUAGUUCAUCGUUGGCAUCUUUGCUAAAGAACAGUUCAUGGGUGGUGGCAUUCUUCUUUAACCUCAGUCGGAAGAAUAUCCAACAAUGGUAGGAUUUAUGUGCCUUCUUCUUCCCUCUCAACACCUGCCUUCUCGUUGGAGAUGUUUUCUUAUCAACCCAACACUUGACAGACUCCUGAGAGUUCUGCAGCAUUUCAACAAGCAAAUAUAAUGGUCUUUGGGAAUCAGAAAGUUCCAUUAUGUGGUGGAGAAUAUAUACAUACAGCAUUUAAUCACCCACUUAAGGAUGCUGCAGCAAGUAUUAUAUUGGAGCUUUCAGUAAUGGCAGGAGUGAUGAAACUAAGCCUGGAUGAGGCCAUGGUUCUCUACUACCUGCUAGCAUAUCUUGGAUGGCCUACCUACAUGGGAAGCAGUCAAUGACCAAGUACCUCUCUCAGAAAACUAAUACAAGUAUCAGCAAUAAACUAAUCAAAGACAGUGUUCUAGUGCUCGUCUUGUUCGGAUAAGCAGUCCCAUAAAGAAGAUUUGCAGAAUCAAUCGUACCAUGUCAUUCUGCAAUGGUACUGGUCUAUUUCGUGUGCAAAAUAUUCCUUCUCCAGUCCCAAGAACCCUAGGGUUCAGUGGAAGGACACCAGCAUGGUCUGAGAAGUCCCAAUACAUGACUUGUUUUUGUUAGAAUUCGGAUAGAGUCAUGAAAGAAGAGUGGUUGAGGAACAAAUCAAUGCGUUUAAAUGUUUAAGCUUAUAAUUAUAAUGACAUUAUAAUGUCAUUGUUUCAUGAGGAUGAGAGUAUAAGAAUGAAUAUAUUCUUAAUAAUAAAACUUUAUAAUUUCUUCGACUUUUAAAAUAAUAUCUUUUAUCUUCACACACUAUGUAUAAGAUAUCUUAAUAAUUUCUUAGACGUAGAUUUACAAUAUCUUCCGAGAUGAUUUUGCCUUCUUUCAACAUAUCCAAUAUAUUCUUCAAUUUUUCAAAAGAUUUAUAUAUUUUUUAAAAUAUCAAAAUCUUCCUUCACCCAAAAUGAUCAAUUAAGAUAAUAUUUAACUAAAUUAAGCUUAGUCUCAACACUCCUUCUUAAUUUUUCUUCUAUCCAUCGUGCUAAGAAGUGCUCUAAGUGGUUUAGUGAAUAUAUCAACCACUUGAUCAUGAGUCUUGACACGAAUGUGUUCGUGAAAUUUCAAAUCGAUGUGUUUGCUCCUAAUAUUUUUCAUAUAGAAUACAAAUCCAAAUUUGUUUCUUUUAUCAUUAAUGUCACAUCCCAAUCGUUAUUGGAAUAUUCAAGAAAUUAAAAAUUAUUAGAAUUUGAAUAAAAUAAAUCAUGGGAGAAAGUACCUUUGAUGUAACGUAAUAUUCUUUUAGUGACCUUUUUAAUGAGUUGAUUUAGUCUCUUCCAUCAAUUGGCUCAUCAAUCCAACACCAUAUAAAAUAUUCGAUCAUGUCAAAUAUUUUAAGCUUUCAAUCAAGUUCUUAUAAAGAGUUUCAUCCACCUUCAUCAUUCUUUGAUAAUUUAAUAUCAUAAUCUACUGAUAUGCUACUUAGGUUACCAUCUUCCAUCUUAAACCUCUUAACUAUUUGUUUUGCAUAUGCUUCUUGUGAAAUAAAAAUGUCUUCUUUGUUUUAUUUCACUUCUAUGUCAAGAAAAUAGGAUAUCAACCCAUAUCGGUUAUAUCAAACUCCUUUGUCAUGACUUGCUUGAAGUCUUGAGACAUACGAGGCUUACUCCCAAUAAAGAUUAUAUUAUCUACGUACAAGCAAAUAUAUAACAUUAUUCUAUCUUCUUUAAAGUAUAAUGAUUUUUCAUAAGGAUAUUGUAUGAAAUUAUCGGCUUUAAAAUAAAUAUCAAAUCUAGCAUUUCAAGCUUCUUUUAACCCAUAUAGACCCUUUUUCAAUCUUAAACCAUUAUUUUCAUGUCCUUUCUUAAUAUAUUGCAUAGGUAGUUCAAUAUAAACUUUUUUUAAAAAAAAAUUAUUUAAAAUAUAAAAUUUAUAUCUAAUUGAUAAAUUUAUCAUUUAUUUUGAGCUACUAAUGAGAUGAGUAAUCUAAUAAAUUUUAUUCGAGCAACGAGAAUAUGUACCUCAUCAUAGUUAAUUUCAACCUUUUGCUUGUAUUUUUUUUGUUACUAAUCUUGCUUUGUAUUUUUUAAUUUCUUCUUGAGCAUUCUUGUUUACUUUGAAAAUCCACUGGACUCCCAUGGGUUCAUGACCUUUAGGCAAAGUUGUGAUCUCUUAUAUCUUUUUUUUGCCAUUGAUCUCUUCAUCCAUUGCUUUCCUCCACUUUAAUUACAUCUUUAAAAGAAAUAACUUCUUCAUUAGCAUAAAGACAAAUAAGAUUGGGUUGGUUUGGUUUGUCACUUUAUAUAAUUUUUGUAUGCUCCUUGUCUUUUUUGGUGUUAGACUUCUUUCCAAAGAUGAGAUUAAUACAGGAGAUGAUGGAGGUUGGACUCUUCAUUUAUCACUUUAUUUUUAUCUUUGUCUUCAUCUCGUACUUCCAUUAUAUUUAUACUCCAAUUCUAUAGAGUAUCAGGACAUCUUUGUCCUAAUACUCUAUAUCUCUACUCAUGUAUAAUUUGUGUUCGUUUAGAUCAAAUAACUUGUAGGCUUUGAAUCGAGUCUUAUAACCAAUGAUAAUAUAUUUGGAGCUUUUGUCAUCCAAUUUUAAUUUUCCUUCACCCGAACCAUAAGUAUAGGUAAUGAAUCCAAAAUCUUUAAAUAAGAGAUGUUAAACUUAAAUAAGAAAUGUUAAGUUUUUUUAUAGCGUUGUGUUUUCUAAGUUCAUUGUUAGACAUCUAUUAGAUAGAUCACACAACAAUUUCACCCCAAAACUCCUUUGAUCUCUUUUUUGCUUUGUAGCAUGCUUCUAACCAUGUUGAGGAUGGUUCAAUUCUUUCUCUCCAUCAUAUCAUUUUGUUAAUCAUUUUGUUAAGAAGACUAGGGUGCCAUCAAUAGUCUUUGAAUAUCACAUGCUUCACAAAAGCAUUCAAACUCCUUUGAUAUGAAUUCUCCUCCACGAUCUAAUUAUAAAGCUUUGAUGGUGUACCACUUUGGCUUUUCACUUGUGCUUUCAACUUCUUGAAUGAUUCAAAAGCCUUUAAUUUCUCCUUUAGGAAGUACACUCAUGUUUUUUACUAAAAUCAUCGAUAUAUCAGUGUGGAUUAGCUUAAGAGGCUUUUUUUGCAUGGUAGCUUGUGAAGAAUAUAUAUUUUAUAAAAUUAAUUUUGAGAGUCGAUGUAUGGUAGUCCUUUCAUUAUCUUUUUGUUUGAUAAUAAGUUGAGUACACCAAAAUUGAGAUAUCUAAACCUCAAGUGUUAUAUCGAAGAGUUAUCUUUCAAGCUAGCAUUGAAGUAUUUGUCAUCAACAUGCUUUAUGUUUAAUAUAAAUAAUAUAUUUUUGGUCAUUUGAACUUGUGUAAUUAUCUUCAUACCUUGAUUUCUUAGUGUGAGAGUUCUAUUCUCCAUGUAUAGAUUAUAUCCUUUUUUCAAAAAUUAUUAUAAUAUUAAAAUAUUUAUCUUCAUGUUGGGCAUAUAAUAGGUAUUAGAAAUAAAAUAAUAAAAUUUAUUUUUAGUUUAAAUAAGGAUUUUACUUUUCUCCUUUACUUCCACCUUUAAGAAAUCUCCAAAAAAAAAACUUGUUUAUUGACUUAUUCAUCUAGCUUGAAGAACAUAUGCUUGUACCGACACAUAUGGUUGCUUACUCCACUAUUUAAGUACCAAAGGUUAAUAUUGUAAAUGUCUCUUUUUUUUUGUGCUAGUAAUAAAAUAUAAUCAUUCUCUUUUUUCACAUAGUUAGUCUUCUCAUCAACUUGGCUAGAAUCAUUAUACCAAUAUUCUAAUGAGUAAUGACAAAUCUUAUUGCAAGUAUAAUAAUAAACUUUGGAUUUGUCAUACCAUCUUUCUUUUAAAGAAUCACAUCUUCCUUCUUUCUUGGGACAUUCUUUAUUAUCUUUAUUGUGUUGUGCUUGUCCUUAGUCUCUUCUAUAGCUUCUACCAUGACCUCGACUACAACUAUGGCCACGAUCAUGAUCCCUUUGGGUUCUUUCUCCUUUGGCUUCUUCAUUUUUAUCUUUAAGAGAAAUCUUAUUUUGAAUAGCUUGCUUCAUUUAUUUUUACUUCUUCUUUUAUAUUCUUUAUUCAUAUGCUUGUAAUAAGCCCAUAAGCUUAUCAAUGGUCAUGGCUUAUUCUUCAAUGACAAUCACAAUAUAGUCAAAUUUUGCAUCUAAGGAUCUUCAAAUUUUCUCCACCACUCGGUUGUCUUGUAAUGUCUCAUCAUUUUUCUUAAUUAAUUAAUAAUAACCAAGACGCUUACGAAAUAGUCCAAAAUGAACUCUAUCUCUUUCGUCUUUAAUGCUUUAAAUUCAUCCUUUAGAAUUUGGAGUCAUACUUCUUUAUCUUUUUUAUUCCUUUAUAAGAAUUUUAAAGAUCUCCUAUGCUUGUUUGGAGUUGGUGGCGAUGGCAAUUUUCCAAAUGCUUCUUUAUCAAGCACUUGAUAGAUCAAGAAGAGAGCUUUCUUAUUUCUCUUUCUCAUGUCUCUCAAAGAAUCAUUUUAGUUCACCAUGAGUGUAGGGGCUCAUUGUACCCCUUCACUACUAUCUUCUAUAUAUCUUAUGAUCGAAGCAAGGCUUUCAUUUGGAUGCUCUAAUUUUUAUAGUUAUUGGUGAGACGGGGGAUAGGGAAUGAUAUAUUGAUAGUUAUCUAUGAUACCUCUUUGCUAGGAAUUGAGUGAAGUGGUAGAAGAAGAUAAAAUACUAACUUUGUUGGGUUCAAACAGAUUUUUGGAUAGUCUAUAUAUGCCUUGCUUCCAUUUGUGAUUGCCUUGAGCUAAGAAUAAGAUCAAGAGGCAUCAUUUUAAUUGCUGAAACUAAUGGAUGAGGCUCAUCAUUAAAAGGCAUCUAGAUUUUAAGAUUACACUUAGAUAUUCCCUUUAAAUGAGCAUCUAAGUAUGUGCUUUCAAAGGAAUUCUUCACUUUGAGGCAGCACAGCAUGCUUAUCUUGAAGCUGCAAAGAGAAAGAAGUUACAGCUAAAUUAUGAGGUCACUCCAACAUCAGCUGGUUAACUUAGAUUAGCCCCUUGUUUGCAUGUCCUAUCUAGCAAUUUCUCAAGCUGUUGGUGCAGCAUAAAAGGGGAGCAAGUGGAAAUAUAAGAGUAGCCUAUCCACCCAAUAGGCAUGCAUAAAAUGAGAGCAAUCUUCCUUUUACGAAGCUCCAAUAAGAUCUUCACCUGGCUUUACAUUUUAUUAAGGAAAAGGGUUAUUGGAAUCUAAUCAAGCGUUAUACCCCAAACCACAAGCAUCCAUGAGGCACCCCACAAGGGUUUGUCAUGCUAAAAGUCUCCAUGUUGUCACUCUCCAAAACCCUAGUAAUGCAGCAUGGGAUUGGAUGAUGGAUGCAGGUAGAUUUCUUCUAUGCAAAGAGUUCAAUUUAGCUUCACCAAGAAGAAAAAGAAAACUAAAUUUGUUUAGGGACAGGUUCUUGCCUCACCCACAAAAGAGGAGGAAAGGAUGUGAUGUGACUUGUGGAAACAUUUUGUUUAGGUAAAGCUUCCUAGCUUUCUCACGAAGAGGAGGAGGCAGUCGCAAAGCAAAAAGAAUAACACUCAUGGAAGCAUGAUGACAUGAUUCAAAGAACACCAAGUGGGGGAGAACAGGAUGUACAUGAAGGCCAUCGAAGGCCCUUGUGCUGCUAUGCCGUCUGCAGAACUCAGUGCCGAUGAACUUUAGAGAUCUUAGCCCAUAUAUUCAAAGUAAUGGAGGUGGUACUACAGUGUGUAAAGAUGUGGGAACGAAGCUCACAAAAACUACUAUAUAAGGCUAACUAAAGUUCAUGGAUCUAUCCGACCUUGAGCGAGGUUGAGAGGACGAGAUCUCAGGGUAGGGCAACAACCUCGAAGCUAGUCUAAACUAGUGGGAGGUUGUCUGCAAGGAUGGCACGCGGCAAGGUGCAGCUGAAAAGGAUCGAGAACCCGGUCCACCGACAGGUCACCUUCUGCAAGCGUCGAAUGAGCCUGCUCAAGAAAGCUAACGAGCUGUCGGUGCUGUGUGAUGCCGAGAUCGGCAUCAUCAUCUUCUCCACACAUGGCAAGCUCUACGAGCUAGCCACAAAGGGGUGGGUACUUUUUUUCUGCUCGUUGCCUUCCAUUAACUCACUACUCCUAGAGAUGCAGACGAGGAACUUUAGACUGAUGAACUAUGUGGCAACCAUCUAAAGGACGAUGGAAGGUCUGAUCGACAGGUACAAGACGGCAUGUGGAGAUGCUCACAGUACCGCAGGAGGUGGUGAUGCAAACCAAUCUCAGGUGAGUUUAUGUAUGCUUGCACCUCCUUCACUGAUCCAUCUAUAGACGAUAGAUAGAUUAGCACUGCAAGAAUGAUUUAAGCAAGCAGUUUGAGGAGGGAUCAUGUUGGUUUCAUGGAUCUAUAUACCCAUUGUUCUUCUCCUAAUAAGAUUAUUGGGGGUCUUCUGUUUCCACAUCUUGACAUGUAGGAGGGCAUGGACCCAUGCAAAGUAACCCUAUAGAAAUGGUGUAAAAGGCUUGUAGUAGAUUUGGAUUUUGGUCUGGCAUGUAACCGAGGAAGGUUGAGUUCUACCUCCAUCGCUCCAUGUUCUUUCCAUCAUUUCCACUGUGAAAGUCCUGUAUCUGCUUCUCUCCAUUGCCAUGCUUUGUAGAACACAGUCAUGGUGACCAUUGCUUCAUGAUAAAAUUGCAGUAACCUCAGUUUCAUGUACUCUGUGCGCAUUAAGGAGAAGAUCUCUAUCUGUAAACUGGGAGAUCAUAUCUAUUCCACACAGGGGUUGGGUCUUUCAGAAAUAAGUUUGUAUGAGAUUGCAAGCAUGGGUAGAAAUUAUUAUGGAGAGUACACCAAGUGCUUUCAUGUCACUUCUCGGGGAAAAUUCUAUAUUUGGGGAGUACACCAAUUGCUUUCAUAUUAUUUUAUGUGUUUCCAACUUCUUAAACAUAAUAGAUACAUUCAUGUCCACAAUAAUGUCAUCUUAUGGCCUUUAAAUUGAGAAAAAGAAAGAGAGAGAGAGAGAGAGAGAGAGAGAGAGAGAGAGAGAGAGAAAGAGAGAGAGAGAGAGAGAGAGAGAGAGAGAUUGUGACAUACCUGCAAUCAAAAUUUUCUUCUUCAGAUCCAAAGUCAGAGAGUAAUACCUCACUGACAGUAUGACUAUUUAGAUGGAAUGAGUACUUCUAAGGGACAACAAAAUGAAUACUUUUGUUGAGAUGUGGAACAACCAAACUGUGUGACUCUUUUAUAACUCCUAUGCUUAUGUGUAGUGUAAGGUAAACAUUGUCUUCUGAUGGUUCAGCAUUGUCUUCCUUCCAUUAGGAAUUUAAGCAAGAGAUUUCCAUGUUGAAGAAAGAAAUUGAUCUGCUGCACAAGAGUCUAAGGUAACAUUUGAUUCCACAGUUAGAUUAAUCUGUACUUCUUCAUAGAAUUAGCUACAUGUAAUAUCAUGAAUAAAACAUGUACAUCUUUCAUUAUGCCAACAAGAAAGAGCAGAUCUAGAAAGACAUUUCAUGAUUAGAUGUGUGCCUUCAGCUAAUCUCUGCAAUGAGUCAAUGCAAUUUAUACCUUAGCCUGCAUCUUCUUGCUUGACAACAUCCUGCAGGAGGUUCUCAUAACUGCAUGCUUGAAUAUUCUUGAAAUCAUUACCAUGCCUUUUUGUUAUAUUUAACUUCUUUAUUAUGUAAUCAAGAUCUUAUUCUUUAUACUUAAAUACCAACAAAAGAAAAAGAGGAGAAAUUUGAUAUGAAGCUUAAGACGAUAUUGUCGAGAUAUAGGCAUAUUCAUGUUACAUAAAAAAUGGAUAAUGGAUUACUGAUCAUUUCAUAGUUUAUGAAUGAGAAUAAGGAUUCAUUUAUGCAAAGCCAUGAUACUUGGUUCAUGCAUUCAGCAGACUUACAUAUGCUUGCAGUCAUACAUAAAAACCCUGUCGUCGGCUGCCGGUUUAGAAAUCUGAUACAAAAUUCUUUUCCUUUCAUUUCUACUCGUAUCAGUAAUCUUUAUCAUACUAUUUUUCAUCGCCGAAAGAAAGCUAUCAGAACAUAUCGGAAAAAAAAAAAAAAAGAGCUUCGGAACAAAGAUGAUAUGCUUUGCAUUUAAAUUCAAGUAUUGGUUUUUUCUACAACAGAUGCAUGCUUGGAGAGGGAAUUGCUGGACACAUGACACUGGAUGAACUGCUCGUCCUAGAAAAGCAUCUUGAGAUGUGGAUGUAUCACAUCCGUGCCACAAAGGUUAGAAGGAUCUUCCUUUUUACUAGAUGAACUGACAGCAUGACUAAUCUACAUCAAAGUGGAUGUGAUCUUAAUUGAAAGCUUCCAAAUUCAGAUGCAGAUCAUGUUCCAAGAGAUCCAAUCCCUGAAGAACAAGGUAUCUACUUUUGCAAGUCCUUCAAAUUCUAGAUUAUCCAGUGACUAAUCAGCAUGAAAAUUUCACCGUCAUGAAUUGGACUAAAUUGUUAUCUUAGAUGACUACAUUGCCUUUGGACUUUGAAUUGUUGGUUUGUUGUUCAGGAGGGCAUCUUGAAGGCAGCAAAUGUGUUUCUCCAAGAAAAGGUAGUAUGCAAUCGGACUGUGAUAGAUACUCCAUUAUGGAAUGAAAGAGUUGACCAAUUUAUUGCUUGCUGGUGCAGAUAUUAGAGCAAAAUAGCCUCUUUGAUGUGUCUCCAAUGCUUGUACAGCAAAAUGGUCAUUUUGAUGCAGGUCAAAUGGUAGCAGCUGACAGUCCAUACCCACUAACAGUACAAUAUGAGCAUUCAAAUCUUGGGGGCUCUGAUAUGGGCUUCUCUUACUUAUCACAAUAAGGUUUGGAAAGAACCUUGUAAGAUUCGAGUCUGUCUUGUUGUGUCAUAUGGUUCUCAGAACUGUGUAAUAUUCCCAAAAGGCUGGGGUUUGUAAUGAUAUGUUUGAACUAUGAUGGACUAUCCCAUUUAUGUGUAAGCUUUGAUCUGCGCAUGACUGCUAUCCUUCCUAUCUAUACUACUCGAGUAGCAUUAGCAGCAAAGGAGAAUUUAGUGAUUGAACUGUGGUCUGGCUUUCUGCAUGCUUAACCAUUUCAAGACUUUAAAGCUUCAAGACUUGGUGGUUAAUCUCUUGUUGACAUUGUCUUUUUGAUCAUUGAAGUCACAGAUCUUUGUGUUCCACCAUACAACUGAAAGUUCAGAGCUAUCAUCCACAGUGGACAACCAGAGGAAAUUAUAACUUAGCUUAUAUACAAUUAAGCUCUAAAUCAUAUGCAUUUCUGGAGAUGGGAUUUCAUAUGUUGUAGCCAUCCUAAUAGAGUGUAUAUGGCUUUCAUAAGAACAAGAUUACUCUUCUCAUCAAUCAUGGUUUCAAGAGAUGGUCUGCUUCUGGCAAAGAUAUUAGCCAACAAAAUGGAAGUGAACAAUGCUUCUUCAAAGUGCCAAAUCUUGUUAUUUUGACAUAUAAUCAUGAAAUAAGCAGAGUUAACUUAGUGUUUUUGGAUUCCAAAUAAGUGCCAUUCAUUAUUCUUUAUUUGAUUUUUAAUUACAAAAAAUACUUCCAGAAUUGGUGACAUUCUUAUUAAUCCCUUCAAUCUCAGUUUAGCAUAAGCUUAUGAUAUUUAUAUAUUAUAUUUAUUCCUAUCAUAUACAUCCAUUAAUCUAAUUUAAUCUAAUACAUUCACAAAAUUUUCACAUUUCAAUAGGGUUGCUCUAAUGCUUAUGAAUGAACUAUGAAUACAAAUGCAAUUAUGCAUAUAAAUAUAUCUAGACAAGAAGACAUUUUUCAUGUAUGUUUAUGUAUAAUAUCGCCAUACAUAUUUAUGUGUUAUAAUGCUAAAUCAAUUUUUUUUUUUUUUGCCAUCUGUUUAUUUUAGAAGCCAUAUGUUAAGACCCAACUUGAAAGACUUUUUUUCUUUUUUCCAAUAAUGUAAAGAGAAUAAACACAAAUUAUUAAUUACAGAUACAUCUAAUCCUACAAACUCACAAUCCUUUAAUUUAGAGUGAGUUACAAAGUCUUGAUAUAAAUGAAGUAUUUUUAAUAGUAAUUAUAUUAUUAUUAUUAAAUUUUUUUUUAUUUUUUGAAAAUAUAUCAUAAAAAUUAUUUCUCAGAAUCUUAAAAUAUUUUUCCUUUUCUAUAAUGUAUAUGAUGAUUGACAUAGCAACAUUUAGGAAAAUAAACAAGAAAAAAACUAAAUAGGAAAAAUAUGAUUUUUUUAGAAAUACUGAAAAUAAGAUUAAUACCAAAUGGAUUUAAAAAAUAAUAAUAAUAAUUAUGUGUUAAAAUUAUUUUUUAAAUUAUGUAAAUUGAAUAAAAUAUAUAAAAAAGCCAAAAAAAGAGUUAAUAUUUGAGUACCCCCAUAGGGCUCUUUGCUUUCUUUUUAUCCUCUCCGUUAUCUCCAAGCUCGAGCAGGGGCGAUGAAGAAAGAGCUACUGGCGUCGGCGCCAUGGCGGGGCGAGGAGCAGCCGCGUGAGAAGUUCGCGGACGCGAAGCUGAAGGCCACCAACGAACCGGGCGGCACGCCCACCAUGCACGUCCCCCGCAAGAAAAGGUCCGCCGCCGCCUCCAAGACCGACGAGGACCUCGAAGCCGAGAUCGAUCCCGAGCUCAGAUACAGCUUCCAGAGGAAUUUCAGGGUCAUUUAAUCUACCCCUUCCAAUCCUCUUUCAUCUUUUCUUAUGCUAAUUCACGAAAUUGAAAGCAUGUGGACUGCAAAGUUCAAAUCUUUCUUUUGUUUUCUUCCCUGCUUUCUUGAAACUGGUUCGCGGUUUAGAUGUAGUACUCAGAUAAGAGUGGUCUGGUUGGGUCGCUAAUUGCUCCCGAUUUGCUCGGGGGGUUUUUUGGUGGUUGGUAACCUAAAAGAUGAUGAUGGUAGGUCUUCAUGUUAAAAGAAAGAAUUUUGGUGGUUCUCUUCCGAUUCGUGAAUACCAGGUAACGCAAGAUGAGAUGCCGAGUUGGGGAAAGACGGAAACCUAGAUUGACCUUUAUAUUGGUAAAAAUUGGAGUUCACUCACAGCGUUGAUGCUUUUAGUAAGGCCAACUUACUUGCGUCUAAAAAGUUUUAUAGAAUCAUGAAAUAAUGUGUUAUGGAAUUUGUAUCUUGAUUUCUUUUUCUGCUUUUCCCAUCUUUUUACUGCAUUAUUGCGCUUGUUUGAUGCAGCCUUAUGAGUGUGCUCAUUGGUAGUAACUUAGUUUUUUGCUACAUCGCUUCUUUUGUUGGCCCAAUCUAUUUUCCUCUUUCUGUAAUGCCUGUGCCAUAAUGUGCAUUUCAUAAUAAGCCUUGCAAAAUGGGUAGCUACUGUCAAUCUAUUUGGAUUCAUUGGUUGUUCUAUGACUUGCACGGUAUGCAGCAAUUUAUUCAGUACCCUAACGGUAGAUCUGGAGAGAACUAGUUGUCUUUCUUGCUGUUGGCAUGAACUUCAAAUUAAAGAAUUUUAACAGUCACUGAUGUGUUCACCAAUCAUGGAUCUUUGCUUUGUAGAUUCAUAUGUAAAUGUUCAAAUUUUAUCUAUAUUAGGUCUUUCUCUUGUUGUCGAUCAAAAGAAGUUCCAUCAUUUCUUGGUGACGUUCUUUGAUACUUAGCUCAAUUAUACUGUAUGUUUCUCCAAAAAUACAUAUAGUAAUAAAUAUUCUUCUGCAUAAUAAGAUGAUAAUUGAUAAUUCAAUAUUUGGUCGUAUUGGUGUGACCCGUAGGCUCGUGAGGAAUUAUCCACUUUGGACGUGCCUGCACGAAUUUGCCCUUUUGGGGCUAGGGAGCCUCAAAAGGUGCCUCUAAGGGUAAGGGUGGCUCGAUGGGCUUAUAAACCCUUAAUUUUCAUUCUCCUCAACCAAUGUGGGACUAAAUGUCCUUAUCAAUGCUCUCCUAUAGGGGAGCCAAGGGCUCAUGGUUCUCCUUUUAGCGUCAUUCUGAUAAGUCAACAUUUGGUCGUCAUUGGUGCAACCCCGUAGGCUCGCGAGGAAUUACCAUACGGUUUUGCACUUUCGAGGCUCGUGAGCCCCAAUAGACAUCUAUGAGGGUAAGGAUGAUUUGGUGGGCUUAUAAUCCCUUGAUUCUCCAACUCUUCGAUCAAUGUAGGACUAAAUGUUUUAAUCAGUGCUCCCCAUAAAUGGCACUAGAAAAAGGGUCAUGAGCCUGUGGCUUCCCCACGGGGGGAGCACUGAUAAGAACAUUUAAUCUCACAUUGGUUGAGGAGUAGGAAAACCAAUAACUUAUAAAGCCUAUCGGGUCACCCUUAUCCUCAGAGGCAUCUUUUGGGGCUCACAAGCCCUGAAAGGGCAAAACCAAAUGAGCACGCCCAAAGUAGACAAUUCAUUGCGAGCCUGCGUGGUCGCUCCAAUGACGACAAAUGUUGACUUAUCAAUUAUGUUGAUGCUUUGUAGACUCUCUAACAUACAGUAAUUUGAUCAUCCAUGUUUGAGUUUGUCUUAGAAUAUCAUAUGCAAAUAUUCAGCGACCUCUUUCUGCCUUGUUUUAAUCAUGAGCUUCUUAUUGAUGUGUUGAUCUUCAAAUGGAAUGGGCCUGAAUAAGGCCAGGCAGAGAUAGAGUGUUAGAUGGAUCUGGAUUGUGCACAAAUAUCCAUAUGAUUCGUCUGAAUUGUGGGCCUUGACUCUUGUGUACACAAAAGUACAUGCUGUGGUAUGUACAGACAGCACUUAAUGACUAGCUGUACAUAACCAUGUCUCACAGGAUUUUGUUAAGAUGACUUCCACAGAUAGUUCAGUACAUAAGUGUGACAAUCAUAUGUAUGCUAUUAUUUCAAUAAGUUUUUAGUCAGAUAUAUAUAUAUAUAUAUAUAUACAUAUAUAUAUAUAUAUAUACAUAUAUAUAUAUAUAUAUACAUAUAUAUAUAUAUAUAUAUAUACUGGUUCUUGCUAUUGGAACUAGAUGUCCAAAUGAGGUUUCAAAUAUAAGUCAAACUAAUGUGUAUCUAUUUGUACUUAACGGUCUAAUCAAGGAUGGAUAAUGGACAAUAUAACUUGGUACCAUUCAAGAGUGUUUUUUUUUUUUAAGUGAUCAUGGACAUUAUAGGUCGGUGCACUAUCUGGUAUCUGAUAAAAUGUAAAAUCAAUAUCGGACUGAGUUUUUAAAGAUUGUAGCAAACUAAUAUGAAGAUACUUUAUGCAUGUAAGUGAUUUUCAGCUAUUUUCGUUCUACACUUGACUGUAUCCAGAAUAUGUAUUUUAGAGAUUCAUUAUGUGCCAAUGCCAUUAAACUACUAAAAAAAAAUCUUGAUCAGUACCUGAUCAUAUAACUUGGUACCAUUUAGGAUUCUUUUUUUUUGGGAUGUUGGGCUGUACAAAUUGGUAUAUUGGUUGGUAUACUGGUAUGAUGCUGGUUUAACUUUGUGUAAAACCGAUAUAGAACCGAGAUUCUAAACCUUGUAUUAAACUAGAAUGAAGAUAUUUAUGCAUCUGAAUGAUCUUUUCAUCCAUUUACUCUUUGUACUUGAUUGUAUCUAAGAUGAGUGUCUUGGAGAUUGCUGUAUUUCUGCAUGCUUUGCAUUGAAUUACUAAGACAUGUAUUUAAUCAAGUUCCUCAUCAUUUGAUGGCUUUAUUAUGUUUGGUUUUAAAAUUUUCUUAUUGUAUUUGCAGUUUCUUCAACAAGUGUUCAGCAUAGAUACACUUGUGAAACCUCUUCCUCCUGCUAUGGCAUAUAAUGUGUCCCGAAAUCUGAGUUUCUUUACUCGGAUAUUUACACAAUUUUGGGGUAAGCCUUCAGAUUUUAACAGAAAUUGGAUCAUUUAAAUGUGCUCAGCCACUUUUUGUUCUCUCUUCAUUCUCUUGCAAUGUUGGCAUCAUCAAUUCCUUUGUCAUACAAUGCUUCAUCUUUGAAGUUCGGUGUUAUCAUAGUUUUCUUUAGUGUCAUUGUUUGUGCUUUGCACUUUGGUUCUUUGCCCAUUUGUGUAUAUCUGGAUAUUAAAUUGUUUAUACAAAUUAAUUGGUUUCAUAAGCUGAAUAGUAAUGGGUACAUAUGGCACAUGUGAAAACUUUGUACAAGGAACAGCCACUGAUGUCCUCAUGAGAAGAAGAUUGAUAUAUCUGCAAUGGUGAUGAAUCACAUCAAGUCAAUUUUCUAGUUUCUCCCUUAUCAUGUAACCACAAAGUCAUCAUGGAAGAAGGGACUAAUGUUUCACAUAACUGUAGACACUUUGCUGCAUGUGGUUUUACAUUACACUAAACUAGUCUGACAGUUUCUAACUUAGAAAAUCAACUGAUAGUUUAAGAUAUUUUUGGUGAUGGAUACUUAAACAUUUGCAGGAAUUCCUUAGCUUUAUAAAUGAGACUAGUUGUAUAAUGUCAAGAUGUUUUCACUUGGCUGUCCACGCUAUGUCCAUCAGGAAUGGAAUAACAAAGAACACAUGAUAUCUUGGUUUCACUUUCUGAACCUGUUUUUCCUUCUUUUGCCCAAUGGUUGGCCUUUACUCAAAUUCUGUCCACAUCUUGCUGAAGUGAAAUAAAGUUCUUGUUUCACUUGACAAUGCUCAGAACAGUUAGUAUCACAAUGUAGACUCCUAUUAAGUUUAAACAAUCAGCUAUCCUAGUGCAAACAUAGGAAUAUGGUGAAGAAAGUAGAAGAUAUCUUCAUAAAUUUAUUAACUAUAUCCAAUCCCUAGAUCAACAAUUGAUGCAGAAAUUAAAUUGUGCAUGUGUCAGUCUACUAUUUUCUUACAAUCAACACCUGCUUUUUGACAAAAAUCAAACUCUGGCAUUAGAUUUCUUGUUGAGUAAAAUUCUUUCAUCAGGUCCAUAUAUAUAGCAUGUCUUUUGGGUCCUGCUUCUUUGUAUGACUUGCAUUGUCAUUGCUGAUAAUCUAUUUGUGAGAUCAAUGAUCGCAGCCUUCAUUCGUUAUGUUCUUUUCUUCCUGGUGUAUAAAUCCUUUAUUUUUCUUAAAAUUUGCUUUCACCUUGAACUGAUUUUCGUGUAAAUAAUUCAGUUCUACAGUUAUAUGCUUUCUUUACACUUUUGAAACUUUCUGUGCAUGAUAAAUCACUAGAAUUGUAUGGUUAAACAUCAUACUUGAGUGGCUUCUAAUUGAUUUUCAGCAUUGAUGAACCAAUUCCUUGUCUUGCUGAAAUUGGAGCCUAUUUCUCGGGCAUAAUAAAUCCACAUGGUAUGUAUGAUAAAAUUAGUGCUGCCAAUGAAGGCUCAUGUGAGAGAAUGCUACUGCUUUAAUACUGGAGAAUCACUCCCUUUCACAAAGAGAGGCUUAUAUCAACCCCAUCUAGAAUCGUGAGGAAUACUCGAGGUGAUGGCGAAUGCGACUAACUCGUGAAAAUGCUAUGUAAUUUAUGUCAAAUUGUUCACAACCCAUUUUGAGUAUCAUAAAAUAAAGCCUAUUUCUGUAAGUCUGCUUUUAAACCACUUGUUAGCUUGGCUUGUUUGUAUCUCAACAAAUGCAUAGUUCUGCAUCUGUAAAUAAAGAUAUUUUAAUUAAUUAACUCUUUGAUCUUGGUGACCAUCUUGCAGAUCCAGAGGGAAUUGCAAAUGCUCAGAAAUCACUUGGGUUAGGACAGGAAGAUAAGGCUCGUCGCGUCGACUGACUGAUGCAUGCCUUCUUCAGUAAUAUUCAGUUCUAUUAUGCUUAGCCUGUCACGAAUUUGUUCUUUGUUUCAGAUUUGAACAAGUAGAGUUGGUCUCAUGAUAUCUCUCUGUUCGUGUUUCAUACAACCAGAACCAAUCGUUUGGUCAGCUUUAUAUUUUGGAACUCUUUGGUAGACUUGUGCAUUAUUUUAUCUUUUGGAGGCUCAAAUAAUAUAAAUAGUGAAUCAAAAUGGUUCAGAUCCUGCUCUCAAUUUUUUUGAUCAGAACAGUUCGGAUUUUGUAUCUAUGAUAUCGAGACAUAUACUAUAAAUUUCAUUUUAUAUAUAUAUAUAUAUAUAUAUAUAUAUAUAUAUAUAUAUAUAUAUAUAUAUAUAUUGAAAUAAUCCCAUUGUUGAUGAGUUUAGGAUGCGAUAAAAUGAUCCGAAUAGAAUACAGAAACAUACAUCAUCGGAGCAGUGGGAACUUUGAGAUGUGAGAUUUGUAUGAUGACGAGAAGAGCAGCACUCGGAGAGGAGAAGACGAAACAGAACGCCUCAGGAGAAGCUCCAAAAUGGCUCCUCACACUCGUCGCGCUCUCGUCCUGCAACGACGACGUGUGGUGUGUGCAUGGCUCACAUGCGCCAACCCUUCUCUAUCUCUCUGGGUUCUGAUCUCCUCAACAGGACCUCUCAACAAAACGCUUACGACCCCUAUCGGCCAUUCUCUCUCUAUCGUUCGAUCGAUGGAUCUGUUGAACGCCGUCCUGAACUCUGUGGUGCCACCGGCAAGCAUGAUCAUUCUGGCCUUCGCCUGGCCAACCAUCUCCUUCCUCCAUGCCUUGGAGUGGUUCUUCAAGACCUUGUACAGAGAGAACAUGGAGAACAAGGUGGUUCUCAUCACUGGAGCCUCCUCGGCCAUCGGAGAGGUACGGUUGUGCACUAGUCAAUUCACUACAACUUAGCUCAUAUGAUCCAUACCACCGUCUCACUGUAGGAAUUUGCCCCUUUUUCAUCCUGUUGCUUAAUUCAUCCUUAUAUUGUCCAGUGAUGAAUGAGUUCAAAAGGUUUCGUGCAUUACUGGAUUUACUACUGAACAAUCGACUACGUGAGAAGAACUUGUAGACAUGUCUUUCAUAGAAGGAUGUCAAUCUACUGAAUCUUUACAUGGAGAAGCAGGUCAUUAGUGCGCUACAGGUUGUGAAUUGGUAUCUGGGAAGUUUGAGUAUCGCAUUUGUAUACAAUCGUUUACACGAGCAUGUAAGAUUCUGGCCAUCGGCGGCGGGGCAGUGCAGGUGGAGAGGCGAGUCUCAAUAGUAGUCCAUCUAGAAAGCUGCAUUUUGCAGUUCAUGAAUCGAUAACAAGUACAGAAAUAUAUGCAAAAGCAUAUUGAGAUGAACGAUGAACCAUAAAUUGGAAAUUUUGGUAGCUAUUUGUAUCCUAAAUGUUGUAUGUUAUUUUUCGGAUAGUAUAUUAUGUUAGCUCAAUUGCAUACUUGCGCCAUUUCAUCGAACACAACUUCAGAUGGUGAAAAUGUCGUUAAUUUUAUGUUGUUCCUACGAACCGAUCGACAAUUUUAAAUAACUUCUAUCUGUUUGUUUAAUGUUGACUAUAAAACCAAGUCAAAGUUUGGUGUGUGCUAAGUAGUAGACUAAUGUGUAUUAAGAUCACAGUAUCUCUAUUUUUAGAUUGCAAAGGAAAUGAUGGAAAUAAAAAACAUUUAUUUAUUCACAUAAACCGCUCUAAAUGUAGCAACUUAACAGAAUCUAUCUCUUUGUUGAUGGUUAUGGUUGCUGAGUUACAUUCAUUACUACAAACACUCAUUCAUCGCAAGAUUUUGAUCUAAAUUUAAUGUUCUCAUAAGUAAUUACAAAUGCAGCAAUUAGCUUAUGAAUAUGCAAGAAGAAAAGCAAAUUUGGUGUUGGUAGCAAGGAGGGAGAAUCGACUUUGGGGAAUCAGGGAGAACGCUAGACUCUUGGGUGCCAAGCAUGUACUUGUGAUGGCUGCUGAUGUUGUCAAGGAAGAGGAGUGCAGAAGAUUUAUAAGUGACACCAUAAGUUACUUUGGCCAUUGUAAGUUUCGAUAUUCUGUUAUGUAAAUUUGUAGGUUUUUAGUAAUCGAUUGGCAUCGACUGGACUCUGAUUGAAUUUGUUCUUCAUUGUCAUCCACACACACCAAUCUAGUCCUUUUACCAAUGUUACAAUAUAAAUUGAAGCUUCUCUAGCUGAUCUAAGACUACUCAUAUGACGUAAAUUUGUAGUUUUUAGUAAUUGAUUGGCGUCGACUGGACUCUGAUUGUAUCUGUUCUUCAUUGUCAUCCAUACACACCAAUCUAAUCCUUUUAUGAAUGUUACAAUAUAAAUUGAAGCUUCUCUAGCUGUUCUAAGACUACUCAUAUGACAUAAAUUUGUAGUUUUCAGUAAUUGAUUGGCGUCGACUGGACUCUGAUUUUAUCUGUUCUUCAUUGUCAUCCAUACACACCAAUCUAAUCCUUUUACGAAUGUUACAAUAUAAAUUGAAGCUUCUCUAGCUGUUCUAAGACUACUCAUAUGACCAAGCUACGCAAGUGAAUCAAUGUUUGCGACUAGGCACGAUAUGCAGUGAUCUUCUGAACAUGUUUUGCUUUGUGUGCUGCAUAACAAGAGAGUCUGUGUUGUUUCUAAGAUUAAUUGUUUGAAUGCAAAUUUUAUUCAGCAGUUUUCUAAUGUUUGUUCUGUACUUGUAUUGAGUUCCAUAUCUAUCUCGGCUUGAUAGGUUCAUGUAAGGCUCUGCUGUUAAUACAACUGUCAAUUAGCUGCUGCCAUGAAUCACAAAGCUUUAUUGUUCUCAUAAUCUAGGGAUGAUCAAUUAAUGUUAGCUUGAGAAAACUCUAUCAUUUAAUUCAAAUAGCAACUUCAAAUUAUCGAUGCCUAGUCAGUUUAGCGAGGCGAACAUGUUUCUUGAUAUCUUUGAAUCUUUUCAGAUGGUAUGUAAUAGUCGAUCGACGAUACAUGUUUCUUGAUAUCUCUGAAUCUUUCAGAUGGUAUGUAAUAGUCGAUCGACGAUACAUUUUUCUUGAUAUCUCUGAAUCUUUCAGAUGGUAUGUAAUAGUCGAUCGACGAUACGAUACGAUAUAGGGAUUACACCUUGUCGCAAUUAUGAUACUUGUUCUAAAUAUUUGUACUUGGCAGUGCAUCAUCUUGUCAACACUGCAAGCCUGGGGCAUAACUUCUACUUUGAGGAGGCCACAGACCCUGCUGUCUUUCCACACAUGAUGGUAUGACCACUGCCACAUCUGCUUGCUUCACUUUCUUCUUA
rnacentral:lncRNA from 1 species